rnacentral:lncRNA from 1 species
AAUUCAAAUUUAAAUUUAGAUUUUAAAUUAUUUUAAAAUAAAAUUUAAUAAAAAUAUUAAUUUAUGCAAAUACCAAAAAAAAUUUGCCUGACAGUUUUUCAAAAUCACUUCAGAAAAAUCAUUUUUAUCUAAACUCUGCCAAGCGCUCUACAGCUUUUUAACAAAAAUCACUUCUCCAAACCAAAAUCACUUUUUCAGAAGGUAGGCCAAACCGGCCCUAAGUGACGGAGUUGCUCUGUUACUAAUCCUACGAGGACAAGUAAGCUGAACAACAUUAACAAUGCUGUUUCUAUCCAGGAAAACCAUAUAAGAAGAGGCAAAUGUAAAUUUUUUAAAACGUGAUACAACAACAGUAAUAAAUAGGAGCAUUUUUCACGACAGAAUGUCUCUCGGGCUUGCGCACGCCCCUCCUAAGUGAUGAGGAAAACUUUCCGUACAUCCGGAACUCCUCUUCUUCUGUAACGGGCCAAAGAAAAUAAAAAAAUUUCGGUGUAGCAGUCUUUAGUUUUCUUUUUUCUUGUUGCUAGAAAUGUACAUCGUGGGGUCUUUUGUUUCUUUUCCGUAAAUGUGAUUUAACUGUCAUGCCUGACUGGUGAAACAGGGAUUAAGGAACUACCGUUUCUAAAACAUGAGGAACAGUUACAGCACGAAUGAAGAUUACAAAUCAAACUUAAUUAAAAUUGCGAGCUUCGGUGCUGUUUGCAAAGCAAAGUUGAAAAUGUGAUAACUCAAAAACGCAAAAUAUUCUCUAGACGCAAUGUAUAGAUGUUUACAAAAGAUCCUGCAUAGAAACAGCAUGCAAAUUCUUAGCAAAAGAAAGGAUCCAGGUGCUGUUGCAAUAGAGUAUUACUGAAGGUGUGUACUAGAAACACGAUGCAGUUUCUAAGGUUGAUAAUGGAAAAGAUGAAAAUAAUAAUAAUAAUAAUAAUAAUAAUAAUAAUAAUAAUAAUAAUAAUAAUAACAGACUAUAUUUUGGCACAUAACCAAGACUUAAAAAGGUGUUUAAAGCAUCAGAGAACUCAACUUAGUGCUCUCUGUGCUGUAAAAAUUAGGCUGUUAAAACAAGGUCCGCACUAAACCUGACCUAGUUAGAUUAGUACUACCACUAUUACAUGAGAAUAUGCUUUCAAGCAUCGUUUCAAAGAAAAAUACUUACAUAAAUGCAAACACUUUGUUAGCCUUCCACCCAAGCAGAUCCAAUAUGAGCGAAUGUCCAAUUAACCACAGAUCCAAUUUUGGCUGCAAGCAUUGGAGAUACCAUCAUAUGAUUCAUUUGUAAUAUGCCUGCUCUUAGAGAAUUGCAUACUUAAGGAGGUGGUGGGGGAUCGGCCGACAAUGUACCUUCCAAAACCUUAACUACUUCCCCCAUCGAGGGCCGAAGCCGAGCAUCAGACUGGACACACCAAAAUGCGAUCCUCAACAUGCGUUCAACCUCAUCUACAUCAAAUUUAUCCCUAAUUCUCGAAUCCACAAGCUCCACACCUCGCCCCUCUGCCCACUCAUUAUGGGCCCAACAACAAAUAUUAGUGCCAGCAUGGCGUCCACUCACCAUUCUCAGUAUCAUCUCCCCAAAGCUCGCCACAUCAGCCUCAGCACCUUGCUCACUUUCGCUUGCCUUGCCGCUCAUUCUCUUCAAGCCAAAUUUUGUCACCUUUGCUUCGAGCUCUUCAUCCAGAAGCACAUUCUCCCAUUUCAAGUUCCCAUGAGCGACAAAUUCCCUGCAGCCAGAGUGCAAGUAGGAGAUGACUUUUGCCACUCCUACGCAUAUCUUUACCCUUCUUCUCCAUGUCAGCCUCCUGCUGAGUUUAGCUUCUGUAAUCCAUUUAUCAACUGAACCAUUCUUAUGAAACUCGUAUAACAAGAACCUUCGGUCGGAGCAGCAACAGUAGCCCUCCAAUUUCACCAAAUUCUUAUGGUGAAUUCCUCCUAAAGCAGAAAUCCAAGACCUAAACAGUUUCUCUCCUAUGAUUUCCCCACUUUGCAUCGCAUAUUUUAACUCCCACACUACAACAACUUUGUUCGACAGAAGCACACCUUUGUAUAGAUUUGUCCCAAGCUGGUCCUUGAAGUUACCGGUGAUAUUGAUCAACUCCGAGUAUGAUAAUGGAACCAAACCAAUAGAACUAGGACAAGGGCAGUAUGUUGCUCCCGUGCUCUUAACCUCAUUUUUUCUCUUCCAGAGGAAAAAAAGAAUACCAACUUGGAUCGCCACAAAUGCAAGGAGUGCGCCAGAUAUUGGUCCAAUGAUAGAAGGUAUGUAGAAUCUCUUGAUCUCUUUGUUUAAAGGAGCAGUGGAAGGAGAAGAUGCAGAGGCAUUUAAAGGAAAUGCGGCAAGUGGAUCUAAACAGAUCUUAACAUACGAUGUGUAUGGUAAGGAGGGGUUCCCAUGACCCGUAAUGAAUCUGGUCUUUUUGAUACGGCACUGAGCUUCACCGUCGUUGGUUGCAGUAGCAGCCAUGCAAUUAGGAUCUUGCAAGCACAAGUCCCUGCACUGCCUAGCACUGGACUGAAUAAUAGAAUCUUGUGGUGGAUAAAUACCGUACAAGAAAGUAUGCUUAAAUGCAACCAUAGUUGUUCCGGAGCUGCAAUGUUGAUAGUAUGGAGCCAAACAACUAGAAUUUGCAGCUAAACUUGAUGACCCGAAAGGGCAUUUACAGGUUGCAGUCCCCACUUGGGACAACGUGCACACCCCAGAUAACCCACAAGUAGCAAAGACGUUGCACUGGUUGGCCACAGCUUGCCACACCUUUCUCCAUAACUUUGAAGAGUCAUCCCACGAGUACAUUCGCAAAUUCCCAUCAGCAUCUAACCUUAGAAACCUAAAGACGACAGAGGAAUCGUUAUGAUCAACUGCAAACAUCGACCACACCGGCCUCGACAUUUGGUCGACUAGUUGAAAUGAUCCUUCUCUUGUGACGACAGCAGCGAGAGUGGGGAAUGUAGGGGCGACUUCAGCUUUCCAGUAAGUGACAUUCGUCUCCCAGCUGAGUUUCAGCAUGCCAGAAGCAUCCAUAGAUAGCGUAUAAUGACUCGAUACAGAAUUUCGGCUAGCAGCUCGAAGGGUCUCAAAUACUGUCAAAUUCUGGCCUGGGAGUAGCGUAUCAGUAGGUGUUCUAAAGCUUUGCCAAAUAACAUUGUGGUUUUGACCUAAGAGAACAAGAUUACCAUCAUCUAAGAGACUAGCAGAAGAUACAGAGGAGUUGCUAGUGUUGCUACUCCAAACAGUUGCCGCUGUUAAAGAGUCGAACAGAAUGAGGUCUCCAGUCUCAGUAAGGUGAAGAUAUGAAUCAGAACCGACAGAGAUUCCAGCUCCCGCAACCCAUAUGCGAGCUUGCUUAUCUGAUGGGAUUGAGGCUGAGCUGAAACGAAUGCCGACGCUGUAUUUGUUAGGGUCGUUGGAGUUGUUGAAGAAACCUAGGGCAAAGUUCCCAUUUGAAGAAACCCAGUAGUUGUGGUUUGAUGCAAACAGCUUGGAAUCUAGAGGGAUUUGCAAACCUUUGAUAUAAACUACGAAAAGAGAUAGUACUAAGACAAAGAACCGACAUGAUAUUGGUUUGAGCAUUUUGACAUCUAUGGCGGAGGUAAGAGUGGAAACAAUGCCCCCCUAAAAAAUGGGAUUUUAGAAUGCAAGGGAUGGAUACUAAUUUCAGCACUGAAAGAUCUUACAAGCUGGUUUUGAUGGUGAAUCAACACUCAUGAAGGUUAGGCAAUGUAGAGUCAAAGAGGGCAACAUUUUGCGCCUUUUCACCAGGUCUUUCGGCUUUUAGAAAAAGAAAAAGACCUUUUAGGUGGUGCCGAACUAAAUUAGCGUUCCAUGCACCAUGAAACUCCUAAGAACAAAAAAGAAGUAACAUAUAGAAAAAUUAAUAACACCCCCCCACAAGAAACAGAAUUGAAAAAAGAGUAGGACUUUGCAAGAGACAAGAUAUCCAAACUGGAAUUACAUGUUGAAUACCCAAAUUUAUGAAGUGGGCAUGUAAUGAGAACAAGCCUAAUUUCUUCUUCUUCCUCCUCUUGAGCCCUCAGAGCAGAAUCUUAGUGAAAGGACAGAUUUGAGAGCUAAAUGGUGGAAUUCUAAUGAAGCUCAAGAAAAUGGUUUGCCAAAAAUAGCACAUUAGGAAAGAAAAAGAAAUUAGAACAAUCAAAUCAGAAAUAUGGAGAACAGAAAUGGAUACUAGAAUAAAAUAACAAUGCCAGAUUUGAGAUUUGAAUGCUCAAAUCGAUGGUUGAAAAUGCUUACCUCCCGUUGAAGCUACUUGAGAAGGGAAAGAGAGAGUCGGAAAGGGAAAGCGAUGGGAGGGAAAAAUAAAAAAAAGGGGGAGGAAUAAAAGGAAAAAAAUAAAGAAAAUGAGGGGGUUUCAGAAAGAAUUUUUUUUAUAUAUAAAUAAUUGUGAAAGGGAAAUAGGAGGUGGAAUUAUGUGGGGGGUGAGGGUCAAAGGGAGUCCGCAGGCACAGUGAGUAAUUAAAGAAGCUCUGGAGGAAAGGCGGAAAGGAAACGGAAGAAAGUUGCGAGUGAGGUUUGGUAGGGGAAUGGGAUGGGGAGAGAAAGAGACUGUGGAUAGAAAAGAAGGAAGAAAAGAACGCGUGGGCUAGGGAAAAGGAUGUGAGGUGAAGAUAAAAAGGGAACGCGUGGGAUCGAAAAAUGAGAUGUCAGGUGAGGUUUUGCCUUUCAUAAACACAGAUAUACUCAUUGGUUUAGAGCGGAGAAAGGUUUAAUUGCAUUAUAUUAUUACUAUAUUUUACAGAUUUUUAUAUUUCCUAUCCUAUGCGAUUAUAUUUAAAUAAUUAAUUUUAUACAGAUACCUACAAAAAUCUCAAAUAGUAAAUAUAUUUUUACAAAAUUUAAAUUAUCAAAUUUAUUUUCUCAAAAAAUUUUUGAUUUGCAAAUAUAUCCCACAAAAAGUUUUGAUUCGUUCAUACAUGUUCCAGCCGUUUGAUUUAUUGUUAGUUUUUUAAUGAUGAGCGUAUAAAAUGACUAUUUUGUCAUUACAAUUUUGUUGAUGCAAAAUUUUUUUUUUUUUCUCUCUCUCUCCUUGCCUUCGCCGCAGUACGUGCGGCGUACUUUAUUUUUGUCACGGCCAAGCGCCUCGCCUUUGACGUUGCCGCUGCCAUAUGUGUCGUCAUUGUCUUGGAUAAAAAGGAUAGGGUAAGAAAGAUAACAAGAUUUAAUAUUUGUCAUGCCCCGGGGCCGAUUUUAAAAGCCUUUUUACAAUGAAUGCAAUUUUUGAAAUUAGAGUUACGAAAAACAUGUCAUUUCUUUCUUUUUUUUUUCAACCUGGCCUACCUGACUUACAGACCCGCUACAAAUAUAAAGUUUUUUUGUCCACUCGAACAAAAUCUCCUUUAUAUUUGCACGGCAUACCAACAAUACCUCAGGAUCACAACAACAACCUACAUUUACCAAUCCACAAUCAAUUCAUGCAAUACAUUUCCAUACAGCUAGCAAUCCUUAGAAAUGAUGCAUGCCUCUAAGCACUCCUUAGGCGCUGGAUGAUGCGAUGCACAGUACAACAAUCAUCCUAUUUAAAAGUGCUCCCCACUCGAAAACUUUAUUUUUAACUCUAUUCAUUCAUUUCAUAAAAAUCAUUCGAAAACCUUUUUAAAACUGUUUCCUACUCGGAAACUCUAUUUUGAAAACCGACAACCUCGAGGGGUAAAAAACCACGAUGCAUAAAUCCGGUACCAAAAAUCCGUAGAUCUCCAAUUGCAUGCAUAAAAGAAACACAUUAACUCAAACCAGUUCACAAGCAUCCAAACAUUCAUAGUGAUCAUCUAACUGAACCAUUUAAUUAUUAAAUUACUAAGUGCGAGAAUGAAACAUAACCAGGGUGAGGAUCGCUACUGCAGUCUAACUAGUAUGUCCUCCCGUCGCGCCAAAUGCAACUCCUUGCCCGAGUCACCUGAAAAAAUGGGGGGUGAGAAACCACAAUCAAGGUGUCACGCCUCGGGACCGAUACCAAUUUAGGUCGGUACCAAGUCCUUAUGUCUAACAACAUAGAAUAUGUCACAACUCUCUUAUAGGCCUAUCUCUAUGUCAUCAUGUCUAAAACAUGAAAAGUAGUAGAUGUCCAUGGCCUAUCUCUAAGUCUCAAUACAAUAGUCUCAUAGUGUGCUAGUCUAAGUGCACCUUUAUGACACUUUUAUUUACUAAGUCCAAGCUUAACUCAAAUGUUCAUAAAUACAUAAUUGAGCCACUUUAAACAUAUGAAGCAUGUUUCCAAACGACUAGUGCGAACACUACUCAAAUGCAUGUAACAAUACCCAGAAUGCUCUACUAUAUAGAGUGAAAAUUUUCUUAUACAUAACACAUGCAUUUUAAGUGUUCUAAAAUUCACAUAAAUUCCAUUUAGCAUAGAUUUGCAUUUAAAAUGACGUUACGACGAGUAUAGAAAGCAGGGGGGCCAUUUCGCCCCGUUUUCAUGAAGCCAAACCCACCACAACUCUUGCGCUACUUCGUUUGCUCCGACGAAGGUGUUCGCUAGUCUCCUAGCACCCUAAAGAUGUAGGAACAAGGGUUAAACGAACCUUACGAUCAACCCUAAGCUCAAUCAAUAAGUAACAUAGGCUAAGGUGGAGAAAACUCACUUCAAGUGAAGACAUCCUCUCUCAAGCUCCAAAUGGGAGUUAGAGUUCUUCAAAUUCAACCUAAAUAAAGGUUCUAAGCCAAUCAAUUGGGUCUCCAAGCCCUCAAAUCAAAAAUCCCCAAAAUAAACCCUAAAUCUCAUUUCUAGGGUUCCAUCUAGCCAAAUCUAGGAAAACAUGUAUCAAAAGGAGAAUACAUGCUACCGACCUCAAGGGGAGUCCCAAACCAAGCUCGAAAUGCUAAAAGGUAGAAGAUUGAUACUCCACAAAGUUUCAACCACGAGCUCCAAGCCACCAAGGUGAGAAAUGAGGUUGAGGAAGAUGCUCCAAGGUCUCCAAGCUAGCUCUUCUUCAACUCCUCCUUUUUCUUCUCCUUCUUCUUCUCUUUCUAGAGAGUGUAGAGAGAAUGUGAGGGAGAGAAAUGAGGGUGAGAGGAAGAGGAAAGGCUCUAUAAGCCUUCAAAUGUAACAAAAUCCACUUAAGUCCCUAAAAAAUCCAACAUGUGCACUGCCCGGGUCUGGGCAGUUUUCAGACUAAGGGACCGGUCUCCCCGACCUGGGACCGGUCUCUCAGUCUGCCCUGAAAAUCCAACGUUCGGGAAUCGGUCUCUCCCCGCAUGGGACCGGUCUCUCCCCGUGUAGUCGCGCUCGGGGACCGGUCUCACCUACCAGGGACCGAUUGCCUCUAGUCCUGCCGCAGCACUGUUCUAAGGGGACCGGUCUCUCCUAUCAGGGACCGGUCCCCGAGAGUGAAAACUCUCAGGACAUAGCCAAAACUCUAGAGAUCAAACUUUUAGGUCGGAAUACCAUCUACGACCUUCCACCAAGUGUGGAAAAGUUCGGAAUACUUAUCAAACACUCGAACCUCGCAAUUUGCACAGGUCCAGUGUGUUACAUUCACCCCUCCUAAAAAGGAGUUUCGUCCGCGAAACUCAAAAGCAAACACAUACCUCAAAGCUCCAUCUAAAAAAGAUGGGGAUAGCGCUCCCGCAGCGCGCUCUCAAGCUCCCACGUGGCCUCCCGCUGCCCGUGGUUGCUUCAAAGAACUUUCACAUACGGAAUAUCCCGAUUUCGCAGUUUCUUUACCUCGCGAGCCAAGAUCUUCAAGGGUUGCUCCUCGAAGCUCAAAUCAUCCCGUAACUCCAUAGGUGUAGCAUCCAACACAUGAGUUGGGUCGAAAACGUACUUCCGAAGGACCGAUACAUGAAAGACAUUGUGCACACCCGAUAGGUUUGGUGGUAGAGCAAGUCAAUACGCUACCAGACCUACACGCUCCAAGAUCUCAUAUGGUCCAAUGAAACGGGGGCUCAACUUACCCCGAAUCCCGAAUCUCUUGAUCCCUCUAGUCGGCGAGACCUUCAAGAAAACAUGGUCUCCAACUUGGAACUCCAAGUCUCGCCGUCGUCGAUCGACGUAGCUCCUCUGUCUACUCUGUGCCGUCAAAAGUCGCUCCCGAGCAAUUCGAACCUUGUCCUCAGCUUCCUAGAGCACAUCAGGGCCCAAUCCCAACCUCUCGCCGACUUCACUUCAAUGAAGUGGCGACCUACACUUCCGUCCAUAAAGUGCUUCGAAGGGCGCCAUCUUGAUGCUUGCUUGAUAACUGUUGUUAUAAGCAAACUCCGCCAUCGGUAGAUGCUGCGACCAUCCUCCCUGGAAGUCUAUCACAAAUGCUCGGAGCAUAUCCUCUAAAGUCUGAAUGGUGCGCUCCGACUGCCCAUCACUCUGAGGGUGGAAAGCAGUGCUGAAGUCCAGUCGGGUGCCUAGGGCGUUCAGCAAACUCCUCCAAAAAUGAGACACAAACCGAGUGUCUCGAUCCGAUACUAUCGACAUAGGCACUCUAUGAAGUUGCACAAUCUCAUCAAGGUACACUUGUGCGAGCUUCUCUCCGGUCCAAGUAGUAUGAAUAGGUAUGAAGUGCGCCGACUUCGUCAACCUAUCCGCCAUCACCCAUAUAGCAUCAUGCCCGGCCUUAGAGCGGGGCAAUCCAGUCACAAAAUCCAUGGUGAUCUUCUCCCACUUUCACACGGAAAUAGGCAAACUCUGAAGUUUUCCCGCGAGUAAUCGGUGCUCAGCCUUCACUUGUUGGCAAGUUAGACAACGAGCUACAAACUCGCCAACGUCCUUUUUCAUCCCCGGCCACCAAUAAAGCAACUUCAAGUCCUUAUACAUCUUGGUGCCUCCCGGAUGUAUAGCAUAGGGCGCUCGGUGCGCUUCUUGAAGAAUAUCCUCUUUAAUUCCCGAAUUCGCCGGUAUACAAAUUCGUCCACGAAAACGCAUCAAUCCUUGGUCAUCCACAAGGAAGUCGCCGGUGCAACUAUCAACCAUUUUAUCUCGAACCUUUUGCAACUCCACAUCGGAAGCUUGCUUCUCUUUAAUUAUAUCCAAGAGUGUAGGUUGCACCACCAAAGUCAUCAAUCUCAAAGACGUAUUUGGAAUCACCACCUCCAACUCCAACCGCUUCAUCUGCUCGAUCAACUGCGGUUGAGUAACAAUAUGCAUCGCUAAGUUUUCCGUUGAUUUUCUACUUAGCGCAUCAGCCACCACGUUAGCCUUGCCCGGGUGGUAAAAAAUAGUCAAAUCAUAAUCCUUGAGUAGCUCCAACCAUCUGCACUGUCUCAAGUUCAACUUCUUCUGAGUGAAUAGGUAUUUGAGGCUCUUGUGAUCCGUGUAUACUUCACACCGCUCGCCAUACAAGUAGUGGUGCCUAACUUCAAUGCGAAGACUACAGCCGCCAACUCCAAAUUGUGCGUAGGGUAAUUCUUUUCAUAUUCCUUUAGUUGGCGGGAAGCAUACGCGAUCACCUUGCCAUCCUCAAUCAAAACGCAACCCAAUCCAUUAAGAGAUGCAUCACUAUAAAUUACAUACCCUGCUCCAGCAACAGGUAGGGUCAGGAUUGGGGCGGUCGUCAGUCGUUGCUUCAACUCUUGGAAGCUUCUCUCGCACACAUCAUUCCAGAUGAACUUGACACCUAUAUUUGUGAGCCUCGUGAGAGGAGUAGGUAGCUUAGCGAACCCCUCGACAAAUCUCCAGUAGUAACCGGUCAGUCCAAGGAAACUACGAAUCUUCGUAACGCUCGUCGGUCUCGGCCAAUCCUUGAUAGCCUCAAUGUUCUUAGGAUCCACAGCUAUACCCGAUCCCGAUAUCAAAUGUCCAAGGAAGGCUAUCUCUCGAAACCAAAGUUCACACUUUUUCAGCUUGGCAUAAAGCUCAUUUUCCUGAAGUAUUUGAAGUACAAGCCUCAAAUGCUCCUCAUGAUCCGCAUCGCUUUGGGAAUAAACCAAAAUGUCGUCGAUGAACACCACGACGAACCUGUCCAGAUAAGGCUUGAAAACACGGUUUAUCAGAUCCAUAAAAGCUGCCGAGGCAUUAGUAAGCCCGAACGGCAUAACAGUGAACUCGUAAUGCCCAUACCGUGUUCUAAAGGCCGUCUUCGAUACAUCCUCGGGUUUGAUCUUCAUUGGUGGUAUCCCGACUGCAAGUCUAUCUUGGAAUACACACACGAUCCCUGAAGCUGAUCAAACAAGUCGUCGAUCCUCGGCAACGGAUACUUAUUCUUGAUCGUGACUUUAUUGAGUUCACGAUAGUCCACACAUAGGCGAAGUGAUCCGUCCUUUUUCUUGACGAACAGAACUGGCGCUCCCCACGGCGAGACGCUCGGACGAAUAAAGCCCUUGUCCAACAGAUCCUGUAGCUAUGCCCUCAGCUCCUUUAGUUCCGCCGGUGCCAUCCUAUAGGGUGCCUUCGAGAUUGGAGUAGUCCUAGGGACGAGAUCUACCACAAACUCGAUCUCCCUAUCGGGUGGCAUACCCGGUAGCUCAGCUGGAAACACGCCCUGAAACUCCCGUACCACUGGAAUAUCCUGAAUCCCAGGGGUGUCAUCCUCACCCCUCAACACAACACUAGCCAAGUAGGCUACACAUCCUCGGCUGAUCAGCUGCCUAGCUCGAGACGAGCUGAUCGACAUCGCAAAAAGCGAACUCCGGCAUCCUCUAAACACAAUCUCAGUCUGCCCCGGUUCUCUAAAAGUAAUCGUGCGAUUCUUGCAAUCAAUGGUGGCGUAAAACUUGGUCAGCCAAUCCAUACCCAAGACCACAUCGAAAUUCUCUAGCUUGCGCAGAGCUAGCAAAUCCACGGGCAUGAUCCAAUCUCCUACCCGAACAGGGCAAUUAGGGCAAUACUCUCUAAUAUCCAGAGUGUUGUCGGGUACUACAACAUGUCCCGGAUGCAACAAGGAAACCAAAGGGAUGCCAUGCAAUUCAGCAAACAGCCGGUCUAUAAAUGAAUGCGAUGCACCAGUAUCAAAUAAAGUACGAACUCUAAUGCCAUCAAGUAAAAUAAUACCUGCAACCACAUCCUCGGCUGCUGCCGCCUCCUCGGUCUGAGCAGCAUACAAACGCCCACUCAGGGCCUGUCGAGAACCCUCGCUCUGGCGCUGGACGGGCGGCCGCCCUGGCUGAUACUGCGCUGAUGGAGUCUCGUGACUGGCGGCUGGUAGAGCCGGUGCCGAUGCAGUCGACGGUGCCGGUGAUGAACCUCUCGGGCACUCAGUCCGAACGUGGCCCUCCUGGCCAUACUGGAAACACCUGCCCGCCCGAUGUGGACACUGCGGUGGGUAAUGAAGACCACCGCAGAUCACACACGGGGAAGGCCGGCGACGGUCAGAACCUCCUCGCUGCGCUGCUGAGCCGCGUCCAUGCUGCUGGUUCCUAGGAUACUUCAGCGGCCUCCUAGAGUGUGUCUGGCUCGCACCCUCUGCCGCAGGCCUCUUGGCCUUACCUUUGUCCAUCGCCUCUCGCCGCUCCUGGACAUCUGCCGCGCCGCUCUCCACUAUGAGUGCGCGAUCCACCAUCUCCCGGUAGGUUUGGAGGUUAGAGGAUUGCACAAACCGGAAGAUCGAUGGUCGCAACCCUUGCUCGAAGAUGCGGGCCUUGUUCUCGUCGUCCCGCACGACGAAAGGCAUGUAGUGAAGAAGCCGAGAAAACUCCCACUCGUACUCGGCUACAGUCCGAUCACCUUGACGCAAGUUGCGCAGAUCCUGCUCCAUCUUUCGCUUGACACUGGUCAGGAAGUAGUGCGCUAAUAGAAGCUCCUUGAACCUCUUCCAAGAUAUAGCCUCCAAGUCAGUGCUGGGGUUCUCCUGGAGAUCCAACGACCAGCGGUAGGCCUCGCCGUCCAAAUGGUGUGUGGCGAGCCAAACUCGAUCUCUCUCCUCCACGAAGGUGUCGCGGAAGAGCUUCUCCAUAUGCAUCAACCACUUCUCCACGAUCCAAUGGUCGACCUUCUCGCCGUCGAAGAUCCGGGGACUGUACCUCCUGAACUCAUUGAGGCGCUCUAUCAGUCGGCCCCGCUCCGCUCCCUCGACCAAGGUAGGGAAAGCUGCUCCAACCGCGGACCUCUGCACAGGUGGUACUGUGAUGGCCUCCUCCUGAGACACGGCAAUAGGCGCUGCUCACGAAGAACUAGGCGUGGGGGACGGCGCUCUAGGCGCGACGUCCACAACUGGUGCUGGCGGUGUAGGGGCCUGAGUCUCCCUAGAAACUGCUGCCUGCUGUAAAAGAAAGUCCUCCAGGCGCUUCAUCCGCGCCUUCUGUCAGCGCGCCGCCUCCGUCUGCUAUCGGGCCGCCUCCGCCUGCUGUGUCACCAAGUCGGUGAGAGCCGCAAGCUUGCUCCUCAACUCUCGGACCUCGCCGGAUCCGGAGGUAGUGGAGGUCUUGACCUCCUCAAGAUGUGCCGCAUUAUCCGCUCCGGCAGAUUGGGAGCGGGUGAUCGGCAUCUCACUACAACAUCAUAAAAGCGUAAGUUAGUAACCCACGCUAUCGUAUCCCCGCUCAAGCAGAUAAUACCCCAAAUCAUGCGAAAGUAAUGAAGUGUGCUUCACUACUAACUCCCGAUGUUACGUUGUCGGCUGCCGACGUAACCCUCCGUGAAGUUAGGAGCUAUACACUUCAAUUUAACUCCACUUUCUAGAGUUAUCAAGAUACCCAAUCACGAUACUUUCGCUUACAAGUCAAAUAGACCUCGUCUGUCACGAGCCUAUUUCCUAUAGUUCAACCGGCCUAAGGUUUGCUAGGUCCACUAAGACUCAACCCUAGGCUCUGAUACCAAACUAAUCUGUCACGCCCCGGGACCCAGCGGAAGCCCGCCCGGCGCGUGCCCAGACUCGCCAUAUGUCUAAAACGUAUAAGGCGUUUACAAUAAAACGAUAAAUAAGACAAUAAAAAGAACAUCUAGAAGCAUCAAAGCAAGGUAUAUCUAGAAGCUACAAUAAGGGUAAGGAAUAUAAAAGUAAAUCCACUAAGCAAAAACAUAAAGUGAAUACAAUAGGAAUCCCAAUACAAAAGCUAAACAAGUACAUAGGAGGUCUCUCUAUACAUGGUACUCAAAACUCUCUCUCUCACAAAAACCAAAAAGAAGAGAGUGACUACCUAGGAGCAACAGCAAGCUCCGCUAUCUAGCUAUGCGACUCCCUUGCCGCGAUCCCGUGCCUCCGCCGGUGCCGAAGGCUCUGAAAUAAAACCAUAAAACAGAGAGCGUGAGAACUAUUGAAUAAUAGUUCCCAGUGGGCAAUUACUGGCUUCAGUGAAAUGCACCACUAGGCCCGAACUAAAAAGGGGGUCAGUAAGCAGAUAUAAACAAAAACGAUAUGUACGACAAGUAAAUAAACAUGAAUAUUUGUUACUACCUGAUAUCUCUACUUAGCUUGAUUUAGCAUAAGAAAAGCUAUUCUCGUAUGAAUGUACCCAAGCAUCGCUAGUAUGAUGCCAUAAGUCAAAUAGUAAAGAUGUCGUUGUUUACUAUUCUAAUCAAUGUCCACAUGGCAUGAUAAAUGCUCAAAAUCAAAUCUGAAGAGACCCGCCCGAAGGCUGUCUGGCCCUGAGACCCACCCGUAGGCUAUUUGGCCGGUGCCGAGCCUAAUGGCCCCGUGAUAGUCAACAUCCCCACUCUAGAAAUAAGUCUUUUCCAUGGCAAUCCACUUCGGCACCCAAUCCCGCACGGCGAAUAUGUAUCACGAUGGCCAUCUCCGGAAUGCCGGCUUGUAGGGAGCGACCCUCACAAGCAUGUGCGAAUGAGCACAAUGGCAAGUAACAAAAGAUCCGUCUCAAGUACCAAGCUCUCAUGUCUAACAACAUGGAAUAUGUCACAACUCUCUCGUAGGCCUAUCUCUAUGUCAUCAUGUCUAAAACAUGAAAAGUAGUAGAUGUCCACGGCCUAUCUCUAAGUCUCAAUACAAUAGUCUCAUAGUGUGCUAGUCUAAGUGCCCCUUUAUGACACUUUCAUUUACUAAGUCCAAGCUUAACUCAAAUGUUCAUAAAUGCAUAAUUGAGCCACUUUAAACGUAUGAAGCAUGUUUCCAAACGACUAAUGCGAACACUACUCAAAUGCGUGUAACAAUACCCAGAAUGUUUUACUAUAUAGAGUGAAAAUUUUCUUAUACAUAACACAUGCAUUUUAAGUGUUAUAAAAUUCACAUAAAUUCCAUUUAGCAUAGAUUUGCAUUUAAAAUGACGUUACGAUGAGUAUAGAAAGUAUGGGGGCCAUUUCGCCCCGUUUUCAUGAAGCCAAACCCAUCACAACUCUUGCGCUCCUUCGUUUGCUCUGACGAAAGUGUCCAGUAGUCUCCUAGCACUCUAAAGAUGUAGGAACAAGGGUUAAACGAACCUUACGAUUAACCCUAAGCUCAAUCAAUAAGCAACAUAGGCUAAGGUGGCGAAAACUCACUUCAAGUGAAGAAAUCCUCUCUCAAGCUCCAAAUGGGAGUUAGAGUUCUUCAAAUCCAACCUAAAUAAAGGUUUUAAGCCAAUCAAUUGGGUCUCCAAGCCCUUAAAUAAAAAAUUCCCAAAAUAAACCCUAAAUCUCAUUUCUAGGGUUCCAUCUAGCCAAAUCUAGAAAAACAUGUAUCAAAAGGAGAAUACCUGCUACCAACCUCAAGGGGAGUCCCAAACCAAGCUCAAAAUUCUAAAAGGUAGAAGAUUGAUCCUCCACGAAGCUUCAACCACGAGCUCCAAGCCACCAAGGUGAGAAAUGAGGUUGAGGAAGAUGCUCCAAGGUCUCCAAGCUAGCUCUCCUUCAACUCCUCCUUCUUCUUCUCCUUCUUCUUUUCUUUCUAGAGAGUGUAGAGAGAAUGUGAGGGAGAGAAAUGAGGGUGAGAGGAAGAGGAAAGACUCUAUAAGCCUUCAAAUGUAACAAAAUCCACUUAAGUCCCUCAAAAAUCCAACCUGUGCACUGCCCGGGUCUGGGCAGUUUUCGGACUGAGGGAUCGGUAUCCCCGACCUAGGACAGGUCUUUCAGCCUGCCGCGAAAAUCCAACGUUCGGGAACCGGUUUCUCCCCACAUGGGAUCGGUCUCUCCGCGCGUAGUCGCGCUCGGGGACCGGUCUCACCCACCAGGGACCGGUUGCCUCAAGUCCUGCUGCAGCACUGUUCUGAGGGGACCGAUCUCUCCUAUCAGAGACCGGUCCCCGAGAGUGAAAACUCUCAGGACAUAGCCAAAACUCUAGAGAUCGAACUUUUAGGUCGGAAUACCAUCUACGACCUUCCAGCAACUGUGGAAAAGUUCGGAAUAUAUAUAAAACACUCGAACCUCGCAAUUUGCACAGGUCCAGUGUGUUACAUUCACCCCUCCUAAAAAGGAGUUUCGUCCGCGAAACUCAAAAGCAAACACAUACCUCAAAGCUCCAUCUGAAAGAGAUGGGGAUAGCGCUCCCGCAGCGCGCUCUCAAGCUCCCACGUCGCCUCCCGCUCCCCGUGGUUGCUUCAAAGAACCUUCACAUACGGAAUAUCCCGAUUCCGCAGUUUCUUCACCUCGCGAGCCAAGAUCUUCACGGGUUGCUCCUAGAAGCUCAAAUCAUCCCGUAACUCCAUAGGUGUAGCAACCAACACAUGAGUUGGGUCGAAAACAUACUUCCGAAGGACCGAUACAUGAAAGACGUUGUGCACGCCCGAUAGGUUUGGUGAUAGAGCAAGUCGAUACGCUACCAGACCUACACGUUCCAAGAUCUCAUAUGGUCCAAUAAAACGGGUGCUUAACUUACCCCGAAUCCCGAAUCUCUUGAUCCCUCUAGUCGGCGAGACCUUCAAGAAACAUGGUCUCCAACUUGGAACUCCAAAUCUCGCAGUCGUCGAUCGGUGUAGCUCCUCUGUCUACUUUGUGCCGUCAAAAGUCGCUCCUGAGCAAUUCGAACCUUAUCCUCAGCUUCCUGGAGCACAUCAGGGCCCAAUGCCAAUCUCUUGCCGACUUCACUCCAAUGAAGUGGUGACCUACACUUCCGUCCAUAAAGUAUUUCGAAGGGCGCCAUCUUGAUGCUUGUCUGAUAACUGUUGUUAUAAGCAAACUCUGCCAUCGGUAGAUGCUGCGACCAUCCUCCCUGGAAGUCUAUCACACAUGCUCGGAGCAUAUCCUCUAAAGUCUGAAUGGUGCGCUCCGACUGCCCAUCACUCUAAGGGUGGAAAGCAGUGCUGAAGUCCAGUCGGGUGCCUAGGGUGUCCUACAGACUCCUCCAAAAAUGAGACACAAACCAAGUGUCUCGAUCCGAUACUAUCGAUGUAGGCACUCCUGAAGUCGCACAAUCUCAUCAAGGUACACUUGUGCGAGCUUCUCUCCGGUCCAGGUAGUAUGAAUAGGUAUGAAGUGCGCCGACUUCGUUAACCUAUCCACGAUCACCCAUAUAGCAUCAUGCCCGGCCUUAGAGCGGGGCAAUCCAGUCACAAAAUUCAUGGUGAUCUUCUCCUACUUCCACACGGGAAUAGGCAAACUCUGAACUUUUCCCGCGGGUAAUCGGUGCUGUCAUGCCCCGAGCUCCGCCAAUUUGGUCGGAUUCGAGCACACGACAGACGCCGAACGGACAGUACCUCCCCUGUCUGCCCAAGGCUCCAACAACAAGUAUAUUACAAGCAAAUCAAUAAGGAGAAUUGCGAGAUAUACGAGGUUUGCACAAGGGCAAACAACAACCACAAGUGAAAGCAUCGAAACUAAACAAAACAUCCAAUAGACAUGUCAUUUGAUUUCAUUUGAAUCAAAUACAAGUAGUCUAUUUCAUUCAUUUACAUCACGAUUUCUUUUAACCAUAAUAUAAUUUGCAUCAUCUUUAUAUUACAUCAUUUUACAAUUUCAACAUACAAAAGUUGAGUACACCAAGUGUAGGGUAUGCCUAUAUGACUCUGAGGCCGCUAACUACGGCGCGACUCCCUUGCCUCGAUCCUCCGCCGCCCCGCUCGCGUAGGGAUCUGCAGGGUUAGUGGUAAUGAGAACUAGAACGAAGUUCCCAGUGGGUUCGGCCGCCGACCACGCCGAUUCGCCCACUAGGUCUAAUUCAGGCAUAUGUAUUUCAAUAAAAGAAGAAUAAAUAACAAACCAACUAAAUGCACUCUACAUACAAUGCCUGCAAAGAAAGCAAUCCACAGAUAGAUAUUCAAUAUUCAGAUACAUGAUAAUUAAUGCAUGCUUGUCCAUUUUCACUGUCCUUUGGCCUUUACCCAAUCCACCCUAGGGUGCUCCUGGUUUACCCAACUCACAGUACACAUAUUCCUGGUCUAACGGGGAGGCCAAGGCACAACCACUCGAAAGAUCUUCGCUGGGUCACUUUCACCCAUAGUGCUUUUCUUCCCGGAGUACACCGCUCGUGGGAGGAGCGACCUCGCACAAAGCCGGUAACCAAACAUGUGAGUAUGAUCCAUCCUCAAUUUGAGGAGGUUUGGCCAACCUGUCCACAAUUCUCACUGUCUCAAUGCCGAUGAAUGGUUAAUAACUAUUCAUUGCACAUUAUCUAUCACCGCCAACGUCAUGGUGGUCCUAAUGCCACAGUACACAUAAUGUCACUCGGGUUAAACCUUGUUUAACAAUCCUCUUUUCGAUGUCAAUCGAGUCAUUAAUGUCAAUGCGCCUUUGUUUACUACGGUACAGUCAUUUCUCACAUUCACAUGCAUAUAGGGUUCUUUCAUAUCUUUGUUCACAUGGUUCUAUAUCAUUACAAUAAUCUUACACAGAUAAUUGUUACAAUCAUAUAUACUUUCAUUACAUGUCACGCCCGGGGUACCAGCGAAGCAUAUCCGGCACGUGCACAGACCAGCCAUACACCUGCAGUAUAUAAGGCGUCUACAAGCAACAUCGAUAGGAAGUAAAACAAAGAAAGUCCUAUCCUGAUAUCAGAGCAAUGUACAAGUCGAUAUAUAUCAACAAAAGAACAAAGAGUGUACAACCCCAAAAUCUCGACAGAAGAGAAGUAUCACAACUAUAGUGACGGUCCAAAAGUACAUAUACAUCACCGGGGAACAAAAGAAUAGGUACAACGGUGGUCUCCUCUAUACAUAGGGACAUCACCUCGGCCGUAGCCGAGUAGCAAGGUGAUCGACUAGCACGCUCCUGUAGUCCCUAGCUAGGCGCGACUCCCUAUGCCACGAUCCCUAGCCUCUCCUGUAACAGGCUCUGUAAAAACAACCACCAAAAGGGCGUGAGAACUAUAAAACAAUAGUUCCGCCCAGUGGGUAAGCCGCCACCCUCGGCGAAUUACACCACUAGGCUCAUGAUGUACUAAUUGAAAGCAAUAACGAUAAUUGCAUAAUUUAUAAGCAUGAUGCUAACCAGUAAUGAGCAUCGUAAUCAACAUGUAAUACAUUCUGCAGUAAUGAAUCAUUUGCAUAAUGGGGAUAUGGCAAUUUCUGUAUCAUGAACAUUAGACAUGAAUAUAAGCACAAACAUGAAGUGACUACUGUACACUUUGAGUAGAAUAAGCAUUCAUUACUUGUCUUUUUCAUUAAGUACUAUCCUUUCAUUCACAGGGAACCAACCAAGGUAGUCCAGCUUUGCGCGCGCCUAAUGGCUCCGUGGUAGUAUACACUCCCCACCCGGCAAUCCACUUCGGCACCACAUUCCCGCACGGCGAGCAACUGUCGCGUAGGCCAACUCCGGAGUGCGGGCUUGUAGGGAGCUACCUCACAAGCGUGUGCGAAUGAGACCGAUGGCAAGCAAAGCAAAAUCUAUGUCCACAUACCUCAGUUUUCAUAUUUUAUUGCGAAGUUCUUACCCUCGAUCCUUUGAUCGGAAUAUUCAAUACACAAAUAAGCUCUAGUAUCCACUAGAUUGUAAACAUGUAUGGGUAAAGCUAAAUCACAUAGCAUUAAUAAUCUUUCCACUAGUAUGGCACUAUCAAAUAGUCAUGAGCAUGUCAUAGUCUCCUACGUAGAGUCAAGAGAAUGUCAUUGUUCUCUACUUUAAGUGCAUCAUACACUUAUUCAUAAGUCAUUCAACUGAAUUGAAUGUAAAUGGAAAUACUGUCAUGUAUAUAUGUUUCUCUAUAUCAUAGAAACAUAAUAAACUGAUCUCCUAAUUGUUCUACUGAAUUAAACAAGAUUGUCUUAAUGCAUGAACACUUUUAUGCAUGAACACUCAUUUCACAUAAGGUAAAGUCAUGAUGACGAAAUCCGAGUCCCUUAACCAUCACAUAGGCAUAUAAUUAAACCACGUCUAUAAUACAUAUAGAACAUAGGGGAGCUUCACUUGCUCUGGUUAGGUCCGACCCACCUAGUACUAGCUCCAAAACAGUCCAAGGAGUUCCAAAGAUCAGCUCACUAGGUCGCAAUCCUGCUGAGCACGAAGCAUACAUAUCGUAUCAAAAAAUUACGAUCGAAAAGGCCAAUUUCGGCGCAAUUACACUUCGUACAUUGGAAUAGCUUAAAUCCCUGUUUUGUUAGCUUAAUACCUCACGUUAAGCUUCCAGAAGGCCCUCCAAGGCCAAACGAAGGCGGUCCAGGGUCAACACCCUCUCGGCUGCGAACACACCAACACGACAUCAAAAUCAUCAAUAUUAUUAGCAAAUAUAGUCGAAUCUUGCGAAUUCAGUUUUCUAACUGAAAUCCCUGCUUACCUCAGGUUAGAAUACCUUCCCAAACCAGCUUCUAAGAGUACAGUUUCAGCUCAAACGAGACUCGAAGACCUGCUGCGAAGAGAAAAUUCCAAAUUGCAUCAAUAAUCCGCGUAUAGUUCCGAUUAAGCUUCCGAAAUGGCUUAAUUCUUCCAAUUAAGCUUCAAAGUAGCUUAUCCCUGGUCUACUGAGAUUAAUUCACAGUUAAAUAACUCAUCUUCUUUAAGUGCUAAAACCUCAGUUUAAAACAGCUAGAAGCAACAACUCCAAAAACUAUACAUAAUUCGUCCAAGAAAUUGCCGAAAAUGGAAAACGCUGAGCUGCUUACCUCGCAAGCUCCAACCAGUCAGCUCGCUGGUCCAGAGCCUCGAAAAGACUUCCAAAGUAUUCUCUCACACGUUUCACAAGUGCUCCGUAACACUCGCACAAGCGACGAACAAGCGAGGCGACGAAAACGAGCAAAUCGUCGAUUUCUAUAUAAGAGAGAGAAAAACUAAGAGAGAGAGAGAGGAGAAGGUGGAAGACAAUCCGCCUGAGCUCCAGCAACCUUCACUAAAGCCCCCAGAGUCGUGCUGGGUUCAAAUAGAUAGGUGUCAAAAGUGAAAUGACAAAAUACCCAAGCUGCACGAAUCCUGCCAGCUUGUACCCGUACAAGGUGAUGUCUGUACCGGUACAGCAAGCAGCAAAAGCGCUGAUUUUCGCCAGUUUGAUGCAAUUUCUCACCUUUUAACAUUCCAAGCAUCCUCUAACUUAUCCAACACUUGUUCUAACUUUUUAGAACAUGUAGGAGUGAUCCACACACCAUUCCACAUACUCGAACUCGCAAUUUGCAAAAGUUCAGUGUAUUACAUUCACCCCUCCUAAAAAGAAGUUUCGUCCGCGAAACUUGUGAACACUUACCUCACGAUUCCAUCGAGAAUAGAUAGGGAAUGCUCUUGCAUUGCACUCUCCAGUUCCCAAGUGGCUUCUUGUUCCUCGUGAUUACUCCAAAGGAUCUUCACGUAGGGUAUUUCGGAUUUCGAAGCCUUUUUACUUCCCGAGCUAGGAUUUUACUGAUGCUCCUCAAAGCUCAAAUCUUCAUGUAAAUCCACUUGGGUACUCUCCAAUAUGUGAGUUGGAUCAAAAACAUAUUUCGUAGUGUGGAUACAUGAAAACACAUUGUGGAUUCCCGAAUGGUUCGGCGGUAAGGCAAGCCGAUAACUACGGGCCUAUUCGUUCCAACACCUCGUAGGGUCCAAUAAAUCGAGGACUCAACUUUCCCUCGAAUGCCAAAUCUCUUAACUCCUUUCGUCGGGGAAACUUUAGGAAUACAUGAUCGCCAACUUGAAAUUCCAAUUCUGCCGACGUGUUUGUCCGCAAACUCUUUGUCGACUUUGAGCUGUCAGUAGACGUUCCUCGAGCAAGCGAACUUUAGCUUCAGCCUCUUGUAAUACAUCUGGACUCAACACCAAUCUCUCACCCACUUCAUCCAAUGAAGUGGUGAUCUCUACACUUUCUACCAUACAGGGCUUCAAACGGUGCCAUCAGAAUACUUGCGUGAUAACUGUUGUUAUAAGCAAAUUCAGCCAUAGGCAAAAACUGUGGCCAACUGCCCUGGUAAUCAUCACACACAGGCCCGUAACAUAUCCUCCAAGGGUCUGGAUAUAGUCGCUCGGACUGCCCAUCACUCUGGGGGUGGAAAGCAGUACUAAAAUCCAAUCGGGUACCCAAGGCCUCCUGUAAACUUCUUCAAAAAAUGUGAAACGAAUCGGGUGUCUCGGUCCGAAACAAUGGAAGCAGGUACUCCAUGUAAUCGCACAAUUUCAUCAAGAUAUACACUUGGUGCGAGUUUUUCUCUCUGACCAAGUCGUGUGGAUUGGAAUAAAGUGGCAGAUUUAGUCAAUCGAUCAACAAUUACCCAAAUUGCAUCGUGACCUGCUUGUGAGCGAGGUAAUCCAACGAUGAAAUCCAUAGUGACCUCUCCCCACUUCCACACUGUAUGGGUAAGCUCUGAAGUUUUCCCGCAGGAAGUCGAUGUUCAGCUUUAACCUGCUGACAGGUUAAGCACUUAGCUACGAAUCUGCAACUUCCCUUUUCAUUUCAGGCCACCAAUAGGUCAACUCAAAUCUUUAUAACAUUUUCGUAUCCCAGGGUGUACAGUAUACGUGCCCGAUGUGCUUCUUUUAAAAUCUCCUCUUUAAUGUCUGGAUCUGCCGGCAACAAAGCCUAUCACGAAAUCUUAACAGUUCUUGAAUUAUCCACUCGAAACUCACUACCAUCCCGAUCAGCAGUGAUCUUUGCUCGAAUCUUUUGCAGGAAUUCAUCUUGAGCUUGCUUUUCUUUAAUUCGAUCGAUCAGGGUAGGUUGCACCAAGUAANNNNNNNNNNNNNNNNNNNNNNNNNNNNNNNNNNNNNNNNNNNNNNNNNNNNNNNNNNNNNNNNNNNNNNNNNNNNNNNNNNNNNNNNNNNNNNNNNNNNGAAUCUUGCGAUUUGCUAAGAUCCAGUGUAUUACAUAGUCGCAAUGCCAAUGUCACGAUAGGUCUCUACCUAUUCAUUCUUGCCACUCUCAAGGCUUUACCUUUGACGAUGUCGAAAUGGGUUAAACUUUAUUUAACGGUUCAUCUCUCAAUGCAACUCUUGUUUCUAUGUCAAUGUCACCCUUGUUUUCUAUUGUCCAAGUCUAUUCUCACAUUCAUACAACUUGAGGGUCCAAUCACACAUGUCAUUUUGGUUCUAUCAUUCUCUAUGUUCAACUACGUUAGAAGCAUAUAAAUGAAGUCAAACCAAGUCCCACAUGUAACUACCCUACUAUGCAUGAAUGGGUAUAUAUAAAACAUAUAUGCUCAAGAAUAGAGAAAACAGACAUAGAAGGGAAUCCAACGAUUCCGGCGUGCACCCCCCACCUCUAUUGGUUGUGUGGGUGAAGAUUACGAAGGCUCCCGCACUUUACGAAAGCCGAUUCCGCGCCCUAUAAUCAAAAUAGUGCCAUAUUAGGCCUUUUUGUACAUGAACUAUGUUCUAACAUUUUCGUAAUGUUAAACGGAGUUGUCCAACGUGUUUAGGGCACCCCCAAUUAGGUUUCUACGGGGUUAAUUUGUCCCCAAAAAAUCCUAGGGCAAAAACCCCAAAUCCAAGCCCUAAUAUUGUCAUUUAGGGUUUUCCCAUAACUCGAUCCCAAUCCUAAGCAAACGAUAGCUUAGAAUCAUCUAAGAAGUACUCUAGUGAGGUUUCUAGACCUUUGGUAUCAACCCUAGGGCUCCAAACACCACUUCCAAGGAUUCACCAUGAGAGCACCUUGAGCUCUCAUGGGUACCAUGGUAUUCAUGGCUCAAAAGAGCCCCUAAAGCCUCUAAGGAGCACAAAGCUCCAAAUCCCUAAGCCAAAAUCCAAACCCUAGAGGAAAAACUUACAAAACUUACCUCUAGUCCAAGCUCCACCAAGAAUCUUCUUGUUGGAGAGCCCCUAGAACCUCCAAAGCAUCAAAUCCACCUUCUUCCCCAAGUUCUUCUUCUUCUUCUUCUCCAAGCCCUAGAGGGAUUCUAGAGAGAGAAAGUGAGGAAAUAAGAGAGGAGGAGGAGAAUGGCUGUGGGAGAGAGGGAUUGGGCCAUAUAUAGUGUUGUAACAAUUGCACUUAAGCCCCUCCACAUGUUUCCUCUUGAACUGCCCAGACUGGGCAUUUUUCGCCUUCGGUGACCGAUCUCCCCGACCAGGGACUGGUUCCCGAACGGGGGUUUUCCAGGACUUAGCCAAAUUUUUGAGUCUCUCAACUGUUGCGCAGCGAGGGACCGGUCUGCCCGUCAGGGACCGGUCUCCCGAGGACCGGUCUCACCACCAGGGACCGGAUGCCUCAGGAUUUCCUGGCAGGCUACGCGCACGGGGACCGAUCUCUCUCCUUCAGGGACCGGUCCCCGAGAGCUCAAAAUCUGGGACUUAGCCAGAUUUUCAAAUUUGCUCUCCGGGUCCCUUUUUGCUCUGUUUACGAACUCUAAUGCACUUAGGGCCCAUUUUAACUCGUCCAAUCCCGCGUUCCGCUCGUUUUGACGGGACUCGGCACGAUUUACGAGGGAUGUGGUAUGUUACAUAUGUAGUAGCUCAUGUAUUUCGGAUAUGGUAUUUGGAUAUUUGAGGCAUAGUAGCAUGUUGCAGGAUACAUUACUAUGUAGUAGCGCAUCCAUUUGACAUUUGAGGCAUAGUAGCAUGUAUAGAUUGCAUACUAUGUAGUUGCUCAUACAUUUGAUUAUUGAGGCAUAGAUCAUAUACUAUGUUGUAGCUCAUUCCAUUGGUUAUUGAAGGCAUGGUAGAAUGUUGCAGAUUACUUUACUAUAUUGCACUUCAAUUUCAUAUCUAUCUAUCUAUCUAUCUGCUUCUGCCUGCUUGGACCUAGUGGGAAGAUCGGCGGAGUCGGCGGCCGAACCCAUUGGGAACUAUAUUAUAUAGUUCUCACCCCACUUUGUUGCAGGGCCUAGCGAGAGAGUACCGGCAGAGAACCGUGGUAAGAGCAUAGUGCCUUAGUUAGCUAGCAGCUUCCAUCUUGUAUUUAGAGUACCCUCGUGUACAUGGUUAGUGGAUGUUAUAUUUUGGGAGCUAGCAUGUAUUCAUUUUAGGAGAUAAAAUUGUAAACUCAUGUAUUCAUUUUGAAGGACAAAAAUGUAAAUCAAUAUGUAAUGGUUGAAUGAUUGUAAUAACUAGAAUUAUCUCUCUCCUUAUUCACUUGUAUGUACUCGUGACUCUUGCUCUUACUUGUUGGCACUUGUAGUGCCCCUGGUUGAUCAUGUAUGUAUUGAAUUUCUUUUCCUGGGCAAAUUCUUGUACUCGAUCAUGUUGUUUAGCCUAGGACGGACAGGGGAGGUGCUGUCCGUUCGGCGUCUGUUCGACGCGCCCGAACCGGACCAAAUUGGUGGCGGUCUCGGGGCGUGACAGAUCAGGUCGGUGCAGAUUAGUUACAGGCAACGCUUGAGGUCUGCGGACCAAUAUAGCAGGCACAGAUUGGGUACAGUUUCAGUUUGGUUACUUUGAGGCAUUCUUAGCAAUAUUUUCUAUACAGUAGCAGGUUUAUUUAUUGCUCCUUAUUUAUCUCUUAUAGCUACUGUAGUUUCUUCAUAUCAGCAUAUAUAUUGUUUACCUAUCUCCUUUGGUUUUCGGUGAUUACGGCUUGCCUUCGUGACUCUGUCAUACCCACUGGAAAACCUUGAUUGCGGUUUUUCACCCCCCAUUUUCCCAGGUGAUUCGGGCAUGGAGUUGGCUUUUUGGCAUGACGAGAGGACGAUCUAGCUAGCUUGUCGUAGCGACCGUCACCCUGGUUAUGUUUUGUUUCUGCAUUUAGUAACUUAAUAAAUAAAUGGUUCAGUUAGAUGAUCUCUAUGAUUGUUUGAAUGUUCGUGAAUUGGUUUCGGUGGAUCAAUGGAUGUUUUCGUUAUUCAUACAUAUGAUCAGAGGUUUGUGGAUCUGUAGUUUUGGUAUUUUGGAUUCUUGAUUCUUGUAUUUACACAUCGUGGUUUUCUACCCCUCAAGGUAGUCGGUUUUUAAAAUGGAGUUUCCGUGUGGGAAACAGUUUUAAAAAGGCUUUCGAAUGGUUUUAUAAAUGAUUGAAUUAGAGUUUAAAAACAAAGCUUCCGAGUGGGGAGCACUUUUAAAUAGGAUGAUUGAUGUACUGUGCAUUGCAUCAUCCAGCACCUAAGAAGUGUUUAGAGACAUGCAUCAUUUCUAAGGAUUGUUAGCUGUAUGGAAAUGCAUGGCAUGAAUUGAUUGUUUAUUGGUAAAUGUAGAUUGUGGUUGAGAUCUUAAUGUAACUGUUGGUACGCCGUGCAAAUACAAAGGAGACUCUGUUCGAAUAAACAGAGGAACAUGGUAUUUGUGGCGGGUCUAUACGUCACGUGGGCCAGGUUGAAAAAAAAGGCACGUUUUCCGCAACUCUAAUUUCAAAAAUAGUAAUCGUUUUAAAAAGGCUUUUAAAACCGGCCCCAGGGCGUGACAGAUUAAGAUGGUAUCAAAGAGUGAAACAAUUACAACUACAUUUGCAAUCUUUCUAACUAAACCAUUGGUUAGGUCGACCAUAGGAUGACCAUGAUCGUAGGCACGUGCGAGCGCGGGGUAUUCGAGAUUUAGUCUCGAGGUUAUCAAGCUAGGAGGCUCGAAGGGUGAUUUGUGUUUAUUAUUUCAUGUUUCUUGUGCUGCAAGAUAUGACAUGUGCUCGUUUUGGUGUUAGGAGUGGGGGGCAGUGAGUGGACUAGCUCUGAGCAGUGAGAUGUCGUCAGACUGCUUUUACUAUUGUUAUCGCCCUACCUCCAACGCGGGACAUAGAAGCCUUUGUAGGUCAAUCCACAGGCACAUAGGGUUCAUCUUUUGAGCUAUGUGGGAUGGUUUUUGCUGGUGGAGUUACUGUAGCACACUGGACCUUUGCAAAUUGUGAGGUUCGAGUGUUUGAUGUGUACUCCGAACUUUUCCACACUUGGUGGAAGGUCGUAGAUGGUAUUCUUGCCUAAAAGUUCGAUCUUUAGAGUUUUGGCAAGUCUUGAGAGUUUUCACUCUCGGGGACCGGUUCCUGAUAUGAGAGAUCGGUCCCCUCAGAACAGUGCUGCGGCAGGGCUUGAGGCAACCGGUCCCUGGCUGGGAAAGACCGGUUUCCGAAAGUGUAUUUUGCGAGAAGGGUCCGAGAGACCAGUCCCUAGCGGGGAGAGACUAGUUCCCGAACGUUGGUUUUGCGGGACGAACUGAGAGAUCGGUCCCAGGUGUCGGGAGACCGGUCCCUCAGCGCGAAAACUGCCCAGACCGGGUAGUGCACAGGUUGCAUUUUAGAGGGACCUAAGUGGAUUUUGUUACAUUUGAAGGCUUAUAGAGCCUCUCUCCUCUCCUUCUCAUCCUUAUUUUCUUUCCCUCACACCCUCCUUACACUUCUAGAGAGAGAAGAAGAAGGAGAAGAAGAAGGAGAAGUUGGAGAGCAAGCUUGAGGGAGCUUGGGAGCAUCUUCCUCUUUCCUAUUUCUCACUUUUGAAGGCUUAGAGCUUGGACUUGGAGCGUUGCGGUGGAUUUAUCUACAACCCUAAAGCAUUUGGAGCUUGGUUUGGAUCUUCUCUUCAGGUUAGUUGCUCAUUUCUCCCCUCUAGACCUAUUUUUGGUAGAUUUUGGGAGAUGAAACCCUAGAUUUAGAUUUUAGGGUUAGAUUUGGGGAUUUUCAAUUUGAGGGCUUUGAGACCCAAUUGAUUGACUUAGAACCUUCCUCUAAGUUGGAUUGGAAGGGUUCUUGCCCCCAUUUGGAGCUUGAGAGAGGAUUUCGUCACUUGAGGUGAGUCUCCUCCACCUUAGCCUAGGUUGCUUGUUGAUUGAGUUUAGGGUUGAUCGUAAGGUUCAUUAACCCUUGUUCCAACAUCUUUAGGGUGCUAGGAGGCUAGUGGACACCUUCGUCGGAGCUUACAAAGGGUUUCGGUAUCAUCGGUGGGUUUUGCUUCAUGAACACGGGGCAAAAUGGCCCCUAUGUUUUCUAUACUUGUCGUAAAGUAUUUUUUGUGAAUGCAAAUCCAUGCUAAAUAUGAAUCAUGUGAAUUUUGGAACACAUAAAAUGCAUGCAUUAUGUAUGAUGAAAAUUUCACUCUAUAUAGUAGAGCCUUAUGGAUAUGCUGCAUGCAUGUGAAAAGUAAUCGCAUUAGCGAGUGGAAAACUACUCUUCUAUGUUUAAAAUGACUCAUAUUAUGCAUUCGGGAACAUAGUUACCAUGCUUGGAUGUAUUGAACAAAGUGUCAUAAAGGGGCACUUGAAACUAGUAAACUAUGAAAAUGCAACAUAGAGACAUAGUGAUAGGCCAUUGCACAUCGACUAUAUUCCAUGUUAGAGACAUGACGACAUAGUGAUAGGCCUUUGUGACAUUCGAUAUAUUCCAUGUUCUUAGACAUGAGGACAUGAGACUUGAGACAAACUUAUACGCAUGCUUGCCAUUGUGCUCAUUCGCACAUGCUUGUAAGAGUCGCUCCCUACAAGCCGGCACUCCGGAGUUGGCCAUCGCGAUACGUUCGCCGUGCAGGAUUGGGCGCCGAAGUGGAUUGCCGUAGGAAAUGCUCAUUCCUAGGAUGGGGAUGUUGACUACCACGGGGCCAUUAGGCACGGUAAAGCCAGACAGCCUUCGGAUGGGUCUUAUGCCAGACAGCCUUCGGGUGGGUCUUAUCAGAGUUGAACUUUAAACAGUUAAAGUGACAAGUGGACAUUGACUAGAAUAGUGAACAAUGACAUUAUUGCUAUUCACAUUGUGGACAUUGGGAUAGUUGCAUAGUCAUGCAUUUACAUAUUGGUUACUCUCAUGUACAUACCUGUGGUAGUUGUUUUAUUACUUAUGCAAAUCAUGCUAAGUAGAGACAUCAUGGUUGAGUAGUAAUCAUCUUUACUUAUCGUUGUGUUUAUCGCUUUUGCUUAUGCUUAUACACUACCCCCUUUUUGUAGUUUUGGGCCUAGUGGCGCAUUUCACUAAAGUCAGUAAUUGCCCACUGGGAACUAUUAUUUAAUAGUUCUCACGCCCCUGAAAAGAACUAUUAUUCUUUUCAGAGCCUUCGGCACCGGCGGAGGCACGGGAUCGCGGCAAGGGCGUCGCGUAGCUAGCUCGAAGAGAGUCCGUUUUGCUAUAGGUGGUUACUCCUUCUUUGGUUUGUGUUAGAGAGAGGGAGAGAUUUUGGGGUUUAGGGUUUAGGGUUUAGGAGAGAUUUUGCACCAUGUAUAGAGAGACCACCUUGUAUUCAGAUUAGUACUUGUUAUGGGACUCCUUUUGUAUUAUCUUAUGUUUUACUUAGUGGAUUAUCAGUUUUAUGUUCUUCUCCAUGUUGUAGCACUUUGUAGCAUUUUGCUCUGAUACUCCUGGAUGCUUCCUUUUAUUGCUUUAUUUACCGCUUCAUUUUAGACGCCUUGUAUGUUUUAAACGUACGGCGGGUCUGUGCACGUGCCGGGUGGGCUUCCGCUGGGUCCCCGGGCAUGACAGAUUAGUUUGGUAUCAGAGCCUAGGGUUGAGUCUUAGUGGACCUAGCAAACCUUUGGCCGGUUGGACUAUAGGAAAUAGGCUCGUGAGAGACGAGGUCUAUUCGACUUGUAAGCGAAAGUAUCUUGAUUGGGUAUCUUUGAUAACUCUAGAAAGUGGAGUUAAAUUGAAGUGUAUAGCUUCUAACUUCGCGGAGGGUUACGUUGGCGGCCGACAACGUAACAUCGGGAGUUAGUAGUGAAGCACACUUCAUUACUUUCGCAUGAUUUGGGGUAUUACCUUCUUGAGUGGGGAUUCGAUGGCGUGAGUUUACUAACUUACGCUUUUAUGAUAUUGUAGUGUGAUGCCGAUUACACGCUCCCAAUCUGCCGGAGCGGAAAACGCAGCAAAUCUGGAGAAGGUUGAGACCUUCACUACCUCCAGAUUCGGCGAGGUCCGAGAGUUGAGGGGCCAGCUUGCGGCCCUCACUUAUAUGGUGGCACAGCAGACUGAGGCGGCGCGCCGACAGGAGGCGCGGAUGAAGCGUCUGGAGGAUCUCCUACUGCAGCAGGCGGAGGCUCGGGAGACUCAGGUCCCUACACCGCCAGCACCAGUCGUGGACAUCGCACCGAGAGCCCCAUCCCCCGCGCCCAGUUCUUCGCGAGCAGCACCCGCGGUAGCGCCUCAGGAGGAGACUAUUGCGGCACCACCUGUGCAGAGGCCUCCGGUGGGAGUGGUCUUCCCCGUGAUGGCCGAGGGAGCAGAGCGGGACAGACUGAUGGAACGCCUCAAUGAGUUCAGGAGGUGCAGCCCUAGGAUUUUCGAUGGCGAGAAGGUCGACCACUGGAUCGUGAAAAAGUGCUUGAUGCAUAUGGAGAAACUCUUCCGCGACACCUUCGUGGAGGAGAGAGAUCGAGUUUGACUCGCCACUCAUCAUCUGGACGGCGAGGCCUAUCGUUGGUGGUUGGAUCUUCAGGAGAACCCCAGCACCGACCUGGCGGCUAUUACAUGGAAGAAGUUCAAAGAGCUUCUACUGGCGUACUACUUUCCGACCAGCGUCAAGAGGAAGAUGGAGCAGGAUCUGCGCAACUUGCGCCAAGGUGAUCGGACUGUGGCCGAGUACGAGCGGGAGUUUUCUCGGCUUCUUCACUGCGUGUCUUUCGUCAUGCGGGGCGACGAAGACAAGACCCGCAUCUUCGAGCGAGGGUUGCGACCGUCGAUCUUCCGGUUUGUGCAAUUCUCUAACCUCCAAAUCUACCGGGAGGUGGUGGAUCGCGCGCUCAUAGUGGAGAGCAGCGCGACAGAUGUCCAGGAGCGACGAGAGGCGAUGGACAAAGGUAAGGCCAAAAGGCCUCCGGCUGAGGGUGCUAGCGAAAUGCACUCUAGGAGGCCGCCGAAGCAUCCGAAGAGCCAGCAGCGUGGACGCGGCUCAGCAGCGCAGCGAGGAGGUCCUUACCGUCGCCGGCCUUCCUCGUGUGUGAUAUGCGGUGGCCCUCAUCACCCACCGCAGUGCCCGCAGGAGGCGGGCAGGUGCUUCUACUGUGGCCAGGAGGGCCACGUGCGGACUGAAUGCCCGAGAGGUACUUCACCGGCACCGUCGUCUGCAUCGUCACCGGCUUUACCAGUCGCCAACCACGGGACUCCGUCGACACCGUACCAGCCUGGGCGGCCACCCGUCCAGUGGCAGAACGAGGAUUUUCGACAGGCCCCAAGUGGGCGCAUGUAUGCCGCUCAGACCGAGGAGGCGGCAGCCGCCGAGGAUGUGGUUGCAGGUAUCAUGUUACUUGAUGGCAUUAGAGUUCGUGCAUUAUUCGAUACUGGUGCAUCGCAUUCAUUUAUAGAUCGGCUGUUUGCCGAGUUGCAUGGCAUCCCUUUGGUCUCCUUGUUGCAUCCGGGACAUGUUGUAGUACCCGACCACACCCUAGAUAUUAGAGAGUAUUGCCCUAGUUGCCCUGUUCGGGCAGGAGAUUGGAUCAUACCUGUAGAUUUGCUAGCCCUGCGCAAGCUAGGGGAUUUCGAUGUGGUCUUGGGUAUGGAUUGGCUAACCAAGUAUUAUGCCACCAUCGAUUGCAAGAAUCGCACGGUUACUUUUAGAGAACCGGGGCAGGCUGAGGUUGUCUUUAGUGGAUGCCGGAGUUCGCUGUUUGCGAUGACGAUCAGCUCGUCACGAGCUAGGCAGUUGAUCAGCAGAGGCUGUGUAGCCUAUUUGGCUAGUGUUGUGCUGAGGAGCGUAGGUGACACCCCUAGGAUUAAGGAUAUUCCGGUGGUACGGGAGUUCCAGGACGUGUUUCCAGCUAAGUUACCGGGUAUGCCACCCGAUAGGGAGAUCGAGUUUGUGGUAGAUCUUGUUCUUGGGACUACCCCAAUCUCAAAGGCACCCUAUAGGAUGGCACUGGCGGAACCGAGCUGAGGGCACAGCUACAGGAUUUGUUGGACAAAGGCUUCAUUCGACCGAGCGUUUUGCCGUGGGGAGCGCCGGUUUUGUUCGUCAAGAAAAAGGACGGAUAACUUCGCCUAUGCGUGGAUUAUCGUGAACUUAAUAAAGUCACGAUAAAAAAUAAGUAUCCGUUGCCGAGGAUCGACGACUUGUUUGAUCAGCUUCAAGGAUCAUGUGUGUAUUCCUAGAUAGACUUGCAGUCGGGAUACCACCAGUUAAAGAUCAAACCCGAGGAUGUAUCGAAGACGGCCUUUAGAACACAGUAUGGACAUUAUUAGUUCACAGUGAUGCCGUUCGGGCUUACUAACGCCCCGGCAGCUUUUAUGGAUCUGAUAAACCAUGUUUUCAAGCCUUACCUCGACAGAUUUGUCGUGGUGUUCAUUGACGACAUUUUGGUUUAUUCCCGGAGUGAUGCGGAUCACGAGGAGCAUUUGAGGCUUGUACUUCAAAUGCUUCGGGAAAAGGAGCUUUAUGCCAAGCUGAAAAAGUGUGAAUUUUGGCUUCGAGAGGUAGCCUUUCUUGGACAUUUGAUAUCGGAAUCGGGUAUAGUCGUGGAUCCCAAGAAGAUUGAGGCUAUCAGGGAUUGGCCGAGACCGACGAGCGUCACGGAGAUUCGGAGUUUUCUUGGAUUGGCCGGCUACUACCGGAGAUUUGUCGAGGGGUUUGCCAAGUUAUCUACUCCCCUCACGAGGCUCACGCACAAAGGUGUUAAGUUCAUUUGGAAUGACGCGUGCGAGCGAAGCUUCCAGGAGUUGAAGCAAAGAUUGACGACCGCCCCAAUCCUAACCAUGCCGAUGGCUGGAGUAGGGUAUGUGGUUUAUAGUGAUGCUUCACUUAAUUGAUUGAGCUGCGUUUUGAUGCAGGAUGGCCAGGUGAUCGCGUAUGCUUCGCGCCAACUAAAGGAUUAUGAAAAGAACUAUCCGACGCAUGAUUUGGAGUUGGCGGCUGUAGUCUUCGCCUUGAAAUUAUGGCGCCACUACUUGUAUGGCGAGCGAUGUGAAGUAUAUACGGAUCACAAGAGCUUAAAGUACCUGUUUACUCAGAAGGAGUUGAAUUUGAGAUAGCGCAGAUGGUUGGAGCUACUAAAGGAUUACGACCUGACGAUUCUAUACCACCCCGGCAAGGAUAACGUGGUGGCUGAUGCGCUAAGUCGGAAAUCAAAGGAAAACUUAGCGAUGCAUGUUAUUACUCAACCGCAGUUGAUCGAGCAGAUGAAGCGGUUGGAGUUCGAGGUGGUGACUCCUGACACGCCUUUGAGGUUGAUGACCUUGGUAGUGCAACCUAUACUCUUGAAUAGAAUUAAAGAGAAGCAAGCUUCCGAUGUGGAGUUGCAAAAGACUAAAAGUAAAAUGGUUGAUGGUUGUACCGGCGAUUUUCUUGUGGAUGACCAAGGAUUGAUGCAUUUUCGUGGACGGAAUUGUGUACCGGCUGAUUCGGGAAUUAAAGAGGAUAUUCUUCAAGAAGCGCACCGAGCGCCCUACGCUAUACAUCCGGGAGGCACCAAGAUGUAUAAGAACUUGAAGUUGCUUUAUUGGUGGCCCGGGAUGAAAAAGGACGUUGGCGAGUUUGUAGCUAGAUGUUUGACUUGCCAACAAGUGAAGGCUGAGCACCGAGUUCCCGCGGAAAAACUUCAGAGUUUGCCUAUUCCCGUGUGGAAGUGGGAGAAGAUCACCAUGGAUUUCGUGAUUGGAUUGCCCCGCUCUCAGGCCGGGCAUGAUGCUAUUUGGGUGAUCGUGGAUAGGUUGAUGAAGUCGGCGCACUUCAUAUCUAUUCAUACUACUUGGAUUGGGGAGAAGCUCGUACAAAUGUACCUAGAUGAGAUUGUGCGACUUUAUGGAGUGCCUACCUCGAUUGUAUCGGAUCGAGACACUCGGUUUGUGUCUCACUUUUGGAGGAGUCUACAGGACGCCAUGGGCACCCGACUCGACUUCAGCACUGCUUUCCACCCUCAGAGCCAUGGGCAGACGGAGCGCACCAUUCGGACUUUAGAGGAUAUGCUCCGAGCUUGUGUAGUAGACUUCCACGGAAGAUGGUCGCAGCAUCUAUCGAUGGCGGAGUUUGCUUAUAACAACAGUUAUCAAGCAAGCAUUAAGAUGGCGCCAUUUAAAGCACUUUAUGGAUGGAAGUGUAGAUCGCCACUUCAUUGGAGUGAAGUCGGCGAGAGAUUGGCAUUAGGCCCUGACGUGCUCCAGGAAGUUGAGGACAAGGUUCGAAUUACUCGGGAGCGACUUUUGAUGGCGCAGAGUAGACAGAGGAGCUACGCCGACCGACGACGGCGAGACUUUGAGUUCCAAGUGGGAGACCAUGUUUUCAUGAAGGUCUCGCCUACUAGAGGGAUCAAGAGAUUUGGGAUUCAGGGUAAGUUGAGCCCCCAUUUCAUUGGACCGUAUGAGAUCUUGGAACGCGUAGGUCCGGUAGCGUAUCGACUUGCUCUACCACCGAACCUAUCUGGCGUGCACAACGUCUUUCAUGUAUCGGUCCUUCGAAAGUAUGUCUUCGACCCGACUCAUGUGUUGGAUGCUACACCUGUGGAGUUGCGGGACGACUUGAGCUUCGAGGAGCAACCAGUGAGGAUUUUGGCUCGCGAGGUGCGGAAACUGCGGAAUCGGAAUAUUCCGUACGUGAAGGUUCUUUGGAGCAACCACGGGGAGCGGGAGGCCACGUGGGAGCUAGAGAGCACGCUGUGGGAGCGCUAUCCUCAUCUUUUUUAGAUGGAGCUUUGAGGUAUGUGUUGUCGUUUGAGUUUCACGGACGAAACUCCUUUUUAGGAGGGGUGAAUUUAGCACACUGGACCUUUGCAAAUUGUGAGGUUCGAGUGUUUGAUGUGUACUCCGAACUUUUCCAUACUUGGUACAAGACCAUAGAUGGUAUUCCGGCCUAAAAGUUCGAUCUCUAGAGUUUUGGCAAGUCCUGAGAGUUUUCACUCUCGGGGACCGGUCCCUGAUAUGAGAGACCGGUCCCCGCAGAACAGUGCUGCGGCAGGGCUUGAGGCAACCGGUCCCUGGCUGGGAGAGACCGGUUCCCGAACGCGUAUUUUGCGAGAAGGGUCCGAGAGACCGGUCCCUGGCGUGGAGAGACCGGUUCCCGAACGUUGGUUUUGCGGGACGAACUGAGAGACCGGUCCCAGGUGUCGGGGAGACCGGUCCCUCAGCGCGAAAACUGCCCAGACUGGGCAGUGCACAGGUUGCAUUUUAGAGCGACCUAAGUGGAUUUUGUUAUAUUUGAAGGCUUAUAGAGCCUCUCCUCUCCCUCUCAUCCUAAUUUUCUUUCCCUCACACCCUCCUUACACUUCUAGAGAGAGAAGAAGAAGGAGAAGAAGAAGGAGAAGUUGGAGAGCAAGCUUGAGGGAGCUUGGGAGGAUCUUCCUCUUUCCCAUUUCUCACUUUUGGAGGCUUAGAGCUCGGACUUGGAGCAUUGUGGUGGAUUUAUCUACAACCCUAGAGCAUUUGGAGCUUGGUUUGGAUCUUCUCUUGAGGUUAGUUGCUCAUUUCUCCCCUCUAGACCUAUUUUUAGUAGAUUUUGGGAGACGAAACCCUAGAUUUGGAUUUUAGGGUUAGAUUUGGGGAUUUUCAAUUUGAGGGCUUUGUGUAAUAUACCAGAUUUUGGUAUAAAAAUAAAAAAUAAAUAAAAAUAGUGUGGGAUACUAUUUUUAUUGGAUUUAGAGAAGUAAAACAUAAGUCAGAAGUGACUUGUGCUGAAAUCGGAAUUAAAAUAGAAGAUCUAAAAUUUUCUGUUGGAAACGGGACAGAUAAAUUAGCAGAAAAUGCACAGUCUCAGAAAAUUAUGAAAAUUGGCAGAGAUGUCAGAAAUAUUUUUGUGAGGCUAGAUUUAAAGUUUCAUAUUUUUCUGACACCCGAAAGGUGGGAAAUAAAAUCCCACAGCUAUCUGUUAAAGAUUACAGUUCGGUACAGUUUUCGGUAACCGAACGGGGUCGAAACUGAACCAGUGAUCGUCAGCUUGUUAAGUUAAGUAAAACCGAGCAUGACUGUCAAGUUUGAGCUCAAACGGACAUUCAGAGAGCUCCGGUGAAAGAUAUCAGAUUUUAAGUUGCCUGGAGUGAAUAGUGUUCGAGGGGUAUUAUAAAGAAGCUGAUGCUUCUUCUUCUCCUUCGGCCGCACCCCACGCACGCACACGACACACACACACACGCAAGGAAAGGAAAAGAGAGAAAGCCCCUUUUCUCUCUCUAAAUCUCUCCCAAAAUUGAUGAAAUUGGAGGAGAAGCAAGAUUGGAAGUUGAUUUUCAUCUCUUUUAUCAUCUUCCUCUCCAUUAGAGCAAGCUUUGAAGGUAACGAAACGCGUUGGCGAAGACGGUUCGGCAAUCCGACGAGCCGUUACAAAGUUAUUAAAGAAACGGACGUUUAGGCUUCGUUACCGCUUGGAGGGCCGAGGCGACGUCGUAAAAUCAUGGAAAUGAAUUUGAAGCACCGUGGCACAUAACCGAAGACCUUUAAUUUUCGGAUCGUGGAUCGGAGGCCGUUCGGGUGGUCGCGCAAAAGAUCGGGCCAAACCGGGUUACGGGUGCCGCGGGAGGCCGAUUGCAAGUGUCGACAAGCAAUCGGAAAGCGUUUUGAGGUGGGUUGUGCUCACCGAAGCGAUUAGGUCGCUUUCCAUGCUAAAGUGUAGUAUGUUUACUAUUGAUGCAUGAUAAAGUAUGCUAUUUAAGAAGGCAUAGCAAAAGAUUAAAGUGUGUCAUUAAGAAGAUCAUAUAAAGUAUGCUAUUUAAGAAUGCUAUAUAAAAUAGAUUCAAGAAAUGCAAUGAUUUGAUGUAAAACAUAUAUAUUAUAGAAAUCUAAACAGAUGUCAAAUCGAGUAUGAAUUUAUACAACCGAAAAUGCAUGUGGUAAAUUUUAAGAAUGCAUAAAUGCUAAUGAUACUAACCCAAGAGACAAAAUAUCCGCCAUAUAACAAGAUCAGUGGCAUUUGGAAUGGAGAAGUGGACCAUAGAUUAGUGGGGACAUCAAACGAAUAAAUAUUGUAAAGAACAAUGCAUCAAGCUAGAGACAAUGUAAAGUAAUAGGUAUCAAAACAAAGCAAAGGUAAACAAAAGAUAAUGCUAAACAAAUGAAAGAAUUGCAUAAAGAACAGCAAAGUGUAAAGAACCAUAUAAUGGCUAAAUACAUCAUUACGAUAAAAACACAUAAUUUAUGGGCCCAUAAAACAAAGUUGCACAAGAAUGACAAUACUAAAUUAAUUGAUAUUUGAUAAGAAAAAUGAUUGCUAGAAGUUAUCAACAAGUAUUAAAGAACACUAAAUGAGUUAAAAACCAUGAUCCACAACAUACCUUAGAGUUAAGGAUUGAUCAUACUGCUAUGAGUAUCCGUCUCGAGGCGGUCGCUCCCCUCGGCGAUGCGCCUCCGGAGUUGGCAUCCGGUUUGGAAUAGACACCUAAGACGGUCCUAGCGGGUGAUUCCUGGAGGAUGACUAAGGAAGCAAAUAUAAAUUGCAAACCCCCGGUUAGCCAUAAUAAAGAACAAAGACACAAAAAGGGAUAUAAAUGAAAGUUAUCAUUGCAUCAUCUAUGAAUGACUCAAGACGAGUCGAGUGCAUAGUUGGCAAGGUAAAUGUAACCUUAGAAAAGUGAAAUUUAGACAGACUUUUAAGUUAUACCACAAGAAUGCAAAUUGUAAAGAGCUAAGGCGCGAGUGCCCUUAGUAAAGGAUAAAGAAAAAGAAUACAAGCAUAAAGAAUAAAGAAUAAAAAUAAAGAAUAAGAUUAAAGAAUAAAGAAGGCUAAUGAUAAAAUGCAUAAUCAAAAGAAAGAUAAUGUAAAGAAUACUAAAGUUGCAUAAUUUGCAUAUUUGUGAGCAUCGAACAUGAUUGCAUGUGUACUAUGUAUAAUAAUCUGUUGGACUAACAUUCGAGUUCCUCCUUUGGACCUUGUGGUUAGCUUUCCCUGUGGCCUGACCCACUGAGACUAUGGACCAAUAGUCUCACGACCCCGGUUGUUGUUUUUGGGGGUAGCAAGGUUCACACGCGAGCGGAGCGGCGGCGCGAGGAAGGCGUUAGCGCCGUAGUUAGCGCCCUACCACAAGCGCGCCGGAACCAGAUAGGCAGCACCCUGAUCGGCUUCGUUAAGAGCGUAUAAAAAAAAAAGAAAGAAAAGAAGAAAAGAAUCAAUGUUAAAUUAAUGUAGAAAACGAUUGUAUAUUGAAGUUGAGGAUCAAUGUAAUGAAAAUGGAUUACAAAUGAUAGAUGAAAUAUAUGUAAUAACCAAUAGAUUUUAUUUGUUGAUACUUCCAUUACAAUCGUGUUGAAAAUUGUUCCUGUUGGAACCCUAUACUUGUAUUGAUGCGAAGCCUUGAACGUACAGGGAGACUGCUGUCCACGUGCAGGGAAAACUGUCCGUUAGGCGCUUUGGCGUGCCCGAAAUCCAGACCAAAGAGGCGGCUCGAGGUCCGUAGACAUUAAGAUGGUAUCCAAGCAUAAAGUAAGACAGGAAAAGUGUUACGAUGAACCUAGGAACCCAGAUAGUAAACCAAGAAUAAGGCUCGUGAGAGACGAAAUGACUUUUGGCGAAAAGGUUUAAGGGAUUGUUGUGUUGUAAACCUCUAAAAAGAGAUUAAGUAGAUCCAAGUGUGUCUAUUCUCAACCGAGGGUUCAUGUUGACCGUACAACAUGAAACCGGAUGAAGAAAAUCCCUUUAUGACUUCGCUCCGAUUGAGUUGAUCAUUUCCGUAACUCGACUCUAAGAAGGUAGAGUUAGUCGAGUUUUAUUUCUAAUAAAACGAGCACGAGCUUAAGGCGAAAUCUAGUAGAGCUGACCGGGGGGGACAAGGAUGUUCCGAGCAAUCCAAGGCGACGAACUCUGGAACUUCGCGAACGGUUGCCACACUUGUGGUGGUGAGCAACGAGCAGAUGUGUGCACAGCAUCAACAAAAACAGAGCUGCUAUCACGCAGGAGGAGCGAAUAAGAGACUCCGAAAAAAUUGUAGUUAAUAUCCGAAACUUCGGUAAGCAACAUCGAACCUUGGUAAAUUGACCAAUAGAGCGAGUUGUACGUUUCGAAAGGCCGAAGGCGCAAAUAAUCGAAGUGCUUACUGGGAUCUUCCGAGAGCUUUGGAAUCAAAUCUGUUCAAACGCAGGUUUCUGCCUCGGACGUCCCUGGUGGAGUAAGAGUCCCCGCACGCGCAGACCAGCGAAAGGAAAAAUCGCUAGUCCCCUGAUCACUCUCGGAACCGGUCCUGCAGAGACCGGUCCCGCCAAAAGAACCGUCCCAUCGGGGAACGAUGCACGCGACCCCUGACCGCAAGUAAGCUCUCGAGACCGUCCCGAACCUAAAAAUGCCCAGUCAGGGCAUCAAAAGAUACAAAAGUUGAGGAGGCUUGUUUGCACUAUAUGCAACAUUGGCACGUGAGGAUAUCGAAAGCUCUUUCUUCAUUUCCCAUCCACACACCCUCCUCCAUAACUCUCCUUUCUCAUCUCUAAAGACAAGAAAGUGAAGAAGAAAGGAAGGGAAAAAAAGAGAAAGAGCGGGCCUUUGGCAGCCCUCAUGACCUCAUAAAGUUGAUCCAACCUAUCUUCGACGGAGAGAAGUUUGAUUCGCGAUUGGGAUACGUGGAUGACCUCCGUGUGAAACGCCAUUAAGGACUCUACCUUGGAGCAGACAGGUACCUACCCGUUAUUGUUUGAAAACAGUCGGCUAAGCGUGUGGCAAAGGCAUUUACGGCGGAACCAUCGCCUAGUAUCCUCCAUGGCAUGGAUAUUUUAGGGAUGUACUUGCUAUCUACUUCCCCCGACAUGAAAAGAGAAACUCAGACAGUUCAAGAAGCUGCGGCAAGGAGACCGCAUCAGUGAGAAUACGAACUGGAAAUCUCCCUAUCGUGACUAUAAUCCGAGAUAUGGAACCUGCUGCUGACAACCUCAUCAUGUAUGAGCCAUUAAUCAUUAUUGUUUCUGAAAUAAUGUAAAAUUGUGCAUUGCAUCAUUGACAUGUAAUUAAUUACUACUAUUAUGUAGUACAUAUUCUAGGUCGCAAGUGAGCGUAUAAAUUAAAUACCCCGGGCACGCUUAUAGGUGAACGUGCACCUUGCCAGGUGCAGGUAAAACUGAGGCACUAGCAGUUGCUAUGAUGGUCUAAUGAUGAAAUACACAGUAGAGAUGAGGACGGACAACUCGCAGAGCAAUUAUAGUCUGAUUGCGAGGUUUGUGACUACACUUGUGGACACUCGAAGGGUCAGUAUCUCCGGAUGUUGCCUUCGAUGAACGGUUUUUGCCAAUAAGGCAAGUUUGCCUAUAGUACCCGAACAGUAGUGAGCAUUUCUUGGUGCGGUGGCAUAGGCAAGAGUUGCUAAUGCUCGACAUAGUGUGAUGACGCUUAGAGCGUCGAUACACCGAGUAUAGUUACUCGUGAGUGCGGAUUUUAGAUUAGCCGAAUGAGUGUGAUUGCAAUAGCACCUGGCAUGCUAGGGGGUGAAGCGUCGCCACGGAUCACUCGUUGGGGCUGGUGCUCGCACUAGGUAAUAGGACCAGAUAUUGUACGUAUCGGCCAUAGAGCGUGUAUGCUAUGAAGUAUACUAAUCAACUGUGACCCAACCCGAACUGUAACUUUGGAUCUUAGUUGCUCCGUUGAAGUGUGUGCGAAUUCCCAAGUGAGAAUUUCGCACCCGAUAUAUUGGUCUCGCAUUGGCACGAGAAGACGCCGGCGUAUGGAAGGUUUGGGCGUCGGCUUACAGAAUGGUGGCCUUUGGUCCACACUUGAAGAGCACCGAAAGAGCGGUUUAGCGGAUAGCCUUAUCGAGAGUCUACUCGAAUCCACGAACGAAGCGUCGUGUGACAUCGUGCGAAUAUUCAAUGUUACUAGUGGCAAUGGUACAGAAGAUGAGUGCUAUUUGUGAACCUGAUCUAAUAGCAAGCCACUUGAAUUUAGAUUGAUUGGAUGCGGCCGAUGUUGGCCACCUCAUUAAAUUAACGGCAAUUUGCCAAAUUAGAGCACUCAAUGAACGGACGAUGCACCCGGUGAUAUCGCUUAAGCAUUUCGAUCGAAUAGAAUGUAAUUCCUGAAAGGGGAAUCAUGCAAAGAAAAGUCUUUGUUCGAUGCAAGUGGUUAGAGCGCGAGAGUCAUCGAUUCCACUUACGCUAUUCCCCAAUAGUGACGGAGACCGUAAGCACUUUGGUGAAUGUCCUUGCAAAGUUGAUGCUUUGUACAUGAGCUCCCUAUAGUCCCUAUCUGAUAUUCCAAAGAGUAAAGCCAUUUCCGCCCAAUGAAAAAAGUGCAUUGUCGCUCCUCAUUAGCCUUCGAGAGCUGAAUGAGUUGCUUUAAUUUCGCGGCACUCGAAAUCUAUUUAAAGGGUGAGAAAAUAAUCAUACCAGAUUUGUUCAAAAUAAAAAUAAAUAAAAUAGUCGUGGAACCUAUUUUUAUGAUUUAGAGACUUAAAACAUAAUCACAAUGACUUUCGAAAUCGAAUAAAAUAGAAAUCCUAAAAUUAUUCAUGUGGACAGGAACAGACUAAAUUACAGAAAUGCACAAUCUCAGAACAAUAUAUGAAAUUGGCAGAAUGUGCAAAACUACCUUUUGCCUCGAGCUAGAUUUAACAGUUUCAUAAUUUUCUGACACCGCCGAAAGGUGGGAAUAAAAAUCCCACACAUCAGUUAAAAAUUACAUUCGUACAUUUUCGUAACGAACGGCGGGUCGAAACUAAACCAGUUGACGUCACUUGUAAUUAAGUAAAACCGAGCAUAGACUGUCAAGUUUGAGAGCUCAAACGACUUCAGAGACUCGCGUGAAAAAUAUCACACUUUAAGUUCACUGAGGCAUAGUGUUCGCCGGGGUAUUAUAAAAGAAGACUAUGACUUCUCUUCUCCUCGGCCCACCCCCCCGACACCCCACCACCACAGAACACCACACAGCCCCCCCCCACGCAAGGAAAGGAAAGAGAGAAAGCCCCUAUUCUCCUCUAACUAUUCCCAAACUUGAUCAGCAAUGGAGCAACAAGAUGGAAUUAUUUCACCUUUAUCAUCUUCCUCCAUUACGCAACUUGAAAGUAACAGAACGCUUGCGAAGACGGUUCGCGCAAACCCGACGAGCGUACAAAGUAUUAAAAAACGGCACUUUAGGCUUCGCUACGCUUGAGCGGCACCGGCACGUCGUAAAUCCAUGGAAAUGAAUUGAAAAACCCUGGCACAUAAACCGAAGACCUUUAAUUUCGCCACUCGUAAGCCACCACCCACGCCGCUUCGUAGUGUCGCGCAAAAGAUCGGCCCAAACCGGUUACGGGUGCCGCAGGCCAUUGCAAGCGCACAAGCAAUCGGAAAGCCUUGAGUGGUUGCUCACGAGCGAUUAGCUCGCUUAUCAUCAAAGUAGUAUUUUAUCAUUGGAUCAUAUAAAGUAUCUAUUUAAGAAAGGCAUGAAAAGAUUAAAUUGUCAUUUAAAGAACGAAAAGACUAUUUAAGAACAUGAUAAAAUAUAGAAUGUCAAUAAAUGCAAUCAGUUUAAUGUUAAUUACAUAGUAAUAUAAAAAUGCAAACAGAUUCAAACGUAUAUGUAGAAUUUCAACUAACUCGAGAAUGCAUAGUGGUAAAUGUUAAGUGAUUCAUAAAAUGCAAUUAUGACUACCAAUGGUGACAAAUAUCCGCAUAAUGAACAUAAUCGAGUGGCAUUUGGAAAUGUAAAGUGGACACUAAGAGUGGGACAUCAACGAAUAAAUUGGUAAAGACAAUGAUAAUUGCUAGAGACAAUAUGCUUUAUUCGCAGUCACUAGUGCUAUUAUUGUUGUACUACCUUUCUUUGGGCAUAUUGUGCAUAAGCGAGUCAGUAAUUGCCCACUGGGAACUAUAAAUUAUAGUUCUCACGCCCUCUUUUUCUCGAUGUUUUUCAGAGCCUUCCACUCAGGGUGAGGCCAGGGACCGCGGGAAGGGAGUUGCUUCGAGCUAGCUUCCUUCGAGGACGAUUCGCUAGGUGGUCUACCUCUCGUCGUAUUUUGUUUUGGAGAGGUUGAGAGUUUUACCAGUGUACUAGAGACCACCAUUUUUGUACUAGGGGCUGAUACUGUAUAACUUAUGUUUACUUUUACGUAUUAGUUAUGUUCUAUUACUAUUAGUAUGGAUGUUAGAACUUUACUCGCUCUGAUAUCAUUAGUUGCUUGAUAUUUCAUUUCUCUUAUUUGUUCCAUCUUUUGCUUUUACUUCCGCUUUUCUUGUAGACGCCUUAUAUGUGUAGACAUAUGGCGGGUCUGGGCACGCUACCGGGAGGGCCUCCGCCGGUCCCGGGGCGUGACACCCCCGGGGUCGGCAAGGCAAGCACCAGGGUCGACGUCAACCUGUUCUUCAACUCUUCGAAGCUUCGAUCGCAAUUGUCGCUCCAAACAUACUUUACUCCUUUAUGGGUAAGGCGCGUUAGUGGAGUGGUUAUUUUAGCGAACCCCUCCACGAACCGCCGAUAGUAGCCCGCAAGUCCAAGAAAACUGCGGACCUCCGCUACAUUCGUCGAGCGAGGCCAAUCCUUUAUUGCCUCUACUUUCUUCGGGUCUACCGACACUCCGUCGCCCGAUACUACAUGACCCAAAAAUGUGACCUCCUUUAGCCAAAAGUCACACUUCUUCAACUUUGCAUAGAGCUUCUCCUGCCUGAGUAUCUGCAACACAGCUCUCAAGUGCUCCUCAUGCUCUUCCUCACUCUUGGAGUAAACCAAUACGUCGUCUAUGAACACCACGACGCAUCGAUCCAACAACGGCCUGAAGACUCGGUUCAUCAAGUCCAUAAAUGCUGUCGAGGCAUUAGUAAGCCCAAACGGCAUUACCGUGAACUCAUAAUGGCCAUAUCGCGUACGGUACGCCGUUUUGUGCACAUCCUUUGGCCUAAUCUUUAAUUGAUGAUAUCCCGAUUGGAAAUCAAUCUUCGAAUACACCUUGGACCCUUGCAACUGAUCGAAUAAAUUGUCAAUCCUUGGCAACGGGUACUUGUUCUUUAUCGUCACUUUGUUCAACUCGCGAUAGUUUACGCAGAGUCGAAGUGUGCCAUCCUUUUUCUUCACAAAUAGCACCGGAGCUCCCCACGGUGACACGCUCGGCCUCACGAAGCCCUUAUCGAGCAAGUCUUGUAAUUGGCCUUUCAACUCCUUUAGCUCCACCGGUGCCAUUCUAUACGGAGCCUUCGAAACUGGCGUCGCUCCGGGAAUCAAGUCAAUGACGAACUCAACUUUCCGGUCCGGUGGCAAUCCCGGUAACUCCGCCGGAAACACAUCCGGGUACUCGCACACUACUCGAAUAUCCCCGAACUUUGGAUACUCCUUUCGAGCAUCUACAAUGGUUAUCAAAUAGGCCUUACACCCUCCUUUGAUCAUUCUCUUCGCCCUUACAGACGAUAUGGUCGCCGCGAAGCACCUACUUUUGCACGCUUGGUACACCAACUCUUCUUGAUUAGGCUCACGAAAAGUGAUCACCUUGCUUCACAAUCUAUAACCGCAUAGUAUUUGGAGAGCCAGUUGGUCCCCAAGAUGACAUCGAAUCCCGACAUCUGAUCUAGCACUAGCAGAUCUAUCGGCAUAAUACAAUCGCCUAUUUGCACUGGACACGCCAAACACUCAUUAUGGACACUGAAUGAAUGUUCUGGGGCGUUCAUCCACCAGUAGUCCUCGUUAUAUGCCAUCUCUAUGCCAUGAGUUUGAACAAAUGAUGCGCUAAUGAAUGAAUGAGAUGCGCCUAUAUCAAAUACUGCUCUAGCUCUAGUGCCUUUAAUCACAAUUAUACCUGCCACGACGUCGUCGGGUGUUGCAGGUUGCUGCUCCUCCACCUGAGCGGCAAAGACCCGGCCGUUAGGCGCUCUCGAUCCCUCCGGCUGACGCGGUGAUGACGCGCGCCCAGCCGACAUCGCUAGUGGCAACCCCGCAAGCUGUCUCGGGGUAGACGGCGCUGAUGCCGCCUUCGGCGCAGACGUCGUCCAGCUUGGGCACUCCCGGAUAAGAUGUCCCGGUUGGCCACACUUAAAAUAUUUACCGUCUCACUGCGGGCAAGCCGUCACUCGGUGCUCACCGCCGCAAAUAACACAUCGAGGAGGUCUCCAGUUCUUCGACUGCUGUCGGGGAUACCGAGGGGGUUUCUUAGCAUUUGGCAGGCCCCCGGCACCGCCCGCCGCUCGCUGCUUGCCCUUAUCUUUGUUCUCGGCCAUAGCCUCCCGUUCCUCUCGAACGUGAGCGCUACCAUGCUCCGCCCAUAAGGCUCUAUCAAAGACCUCCGCAAAGGUCGUCAGCUUCAAGAUCUGCACCUUCUCAUAUAUCCUCGGUUGGAGUCCUCGUAAUAACCAAUCAGCCCGAUCCCGAUCAUCUCGAACAACAUCGAGAACGCAGUCGAUAAUAUAGGAGAAUUCCUGCUCAUACUCCCCCACCGAUCGAUCGCCCUGUCUCAACUUGCGGAACUUUUCUUGCAACCUCCGCUUCACCGUGUCAAGGAAGUAGUUCGCAAAGACUGCUCUCUUGAACUCCUCCCACAGCAUAAGCGGAAGAUCGGUAGGUCGAUCCCGCUUAACUCGCUUCCACCACACCAUCGCCGCCUUCUCAAGACAAUGGGUGGCAAGGUAUACUUUGUCCUUCUCCGAGGUAUUUAGAUCCUCGAAGAGCGUCUUCAUCGAGUCGAUCAAUGACUCCUCAACCGCUGGCUCCACCAAACCGCCUUCGAAGGUAGGUGGGUCGAACUUCAUAAACUGUAUGAGAGCCGCCAACAUGCGCUCCCGCUCCGCCUCUACCGCCGCACUAUCGGGAUUUGAGGUUCCCGAUCCGGCCGGCACCGCCAUAACUGGCACAGCCGCAACUGGCUCUGCCGCUAAACCCUCGACAGCGACAGGGGGCGCAGGAGGUCCGACGCCCGCUUGCGUCGCCGCCGCCUGUUGUCGCUCAACAGCCUCUUAGAGCCUUUGAAUCUGCUCCCCUUGGCUUCGCACAAACUCUGCUUGCUGCCACACUACUCCAAUAAGCGCAGCCACUUGAUUCCUAAGCUCUCCGUCGCUACUCGCUCCGGAUCGCUCGGGCUCCGCACUCGGCUCCUCGGGCAUCGACCUUGUCUGUGGUCGACCACGAGGUGCCAUUGCUUCCUGAAAAGAAGCAACUCGCAUUAGCUACAUAACCAACAUUACUCAUCAAUACCUAAUUCGCCGAAAGCAACAUACACAUUCAUCCUUGCCUCAAGCGUCAUGUCGUCGGCCGCCCGACAGAACACUAGAAGUAGAGGACAAAUGAAAAUUAAACUUAGCCUUUAAUCACAUUAGAGACAUCCCAACUUAACCCAAUCACAUGCUUUUGCUAACUUUGAUCCCACGUCACUCACGUUUCCUAGAUCCUUAAGGCCUGCCAAUCCUAUAGGUCUCUAGAUCCAUUCCUAUUCUUUCACUCUAGGCUCUGAUACCACAAUAUCUGUCAUGCUCCGGGACCGAUACCAAUUUGGGCCGGCCCGAGCACGUCAAACAGACGCUGAACGGACAGAGUUUCUCCUAUCCGCCCAAGGCUCAUCACCUGUACAUUUUCAAGUAGAGAAAAGCACUAGCGGAAACAUACACAAACGGCUUACACGAGGGUAAGCAAUAGCCAUGAGUGAAAGAAAGGAAACUAAACAUCUACAUAAGUACUAUGAUUCUCUUUUGAUCACAUACAUUGCAUUUAACCUUCAAAUUCAUGAUUCUUUACAUUUCAUUACAUCACUUGCAUCAUUUCUUUUUACAUCACAUUGCCUCAAAAUAAAACUUUGCAUUCUUUUUCUUUACUUUAAACAUCUUCAAGUACAAAAGAUGACCAUAGGGUAGCUACUAACAAAAUGUGAAAUAAUCCAACUCUGGUGGCCUCUGACUAUGGUGCAAUACCUUUACCGCGGUCGCUUGACGACUCGCUCGGUCCCGGCUCUGUGAAAAUAGUGGGGUGAGAACUACAACAAAGUUUCCAGUGGGUUCGGCCCCAAUCUCACUGACUUUCCCACUAGGUCUAACUCAGGCAUAAUAGAAAGAAUAAGCAGAUAAGUAGCCAACUAUACAAAUGCAGCUAAUAUGCCUGAACAAUGCUAUCAAUAAGAUGCUCAAUAUAAAUUCAUGAAGAAUGCAUGGUCGAUGUUCUUUGUUCUUUGUUCUUUGUUCUUUGUUCUUUGUUCAAUCUCAAGGCUAACCCGGGGGUAUCGCCUCAUUAACUCACAACUCAAAUCCAUGAUCGCGGGCCCUCAGCUUCCUCCCGCUAGGACCGUCCUCUGAGUAACUCAACUCAGUGAUGACAAACUCCGGAGCGCAUCGCCCGAGGGGGAGCGACCACCCUCGAGCAAAGACUUAUAGCGAGUAUGAUCAAUCCUCAACUCUAAGGAUAUUCAGUUCAAUCUAUUCCUUAACUCUAAGGAAUUAUACACAAAUGACCCUUAGCUCUAAGGUUGAAUGUCAUCGUGUCAAUCUCAUGUUCUUUGCAUUCUUUAUCCUUGACCAUGUCAAUACACUAACUCUAGUGUUCUUUACAUUCUUUACUUUCAUCAUGUCUUUAUACUAACUCUAGUGUUCUUUACAUUCUUUACUUUCAUCAUGUCUUUACACUAACUCUAGUGUUCUUUACAUUACUUUAUUUUGCUAACUCUAGCACUCAUUGUUCUUUAACUUUACUCGUUCUUUAUGCCACUUUCAUUUUCUUCACUUGUCUCUAAUCAUUGUCAUUGUUCCUUGCGUCACAUUUCUCUUUGAUGCCACACACUAACUCUAGUGUCACAUUGCUUUACAUUAUCGGAUGCCACUCGAUCUAUAUUUUAUUGUGUCACUUUGUUCUUUCCAUCUCAUUGGACGCUCACAUUAUAUUCUCAUGCAUACAUAUAGGGUUGAAUAGGUUCUCAAACAUUUCAAAUAGCACGUGUACUCACAUCAUGCAACAUUCACAUAUAUCACAUCACAUCUACCCUAUAAUGCAUGCAACAAUAUAAACACUUGCUCAAUUGAAUGACACAUUAGGCAUAGAAGAAAUUCCAACGAGUUUGGAUAGCACCACCCACCUCGUAGGAGUACUAGGAUGCUACGAUGAUUUUCUUGGGAUUUUUAGCUUCUUAGUUUGUCACCUGCGGCAAAACGAAGCCCUAUUAGGCCAUUUUGCUCAUAUCUUUACAUCGGCUUUUCGUAACGUCAAUCCGAGUGCACCAACAUGUCGGAAAUACUCCCAAUUAGCGUAUCCGCCUCAAAAGGUACAAAAUGGUGGACUCUAGUACAUGGGUAAACUCUCAACCUCUCACAAAAUAAAGUAACGAGAGGUAAACCACCUAUCCAAUCGUCCUCAAAGGAAGCUAGUUCGAAGCAACUUCCUUCCCGCGGUCCCUAGCCUCUUCCGGCGUGGAAGGCUCUGAAAGAAAACAUAAAACGGAAGGCGUGAGAACUAUAAUUUAUAGUUCCCAGUGGGCAAUUACUGACCUCAGCUCUAUGCACCACUAGGCCCCGACAGAAAAGGGUAAGUACGAUAAGUAAUAAUAAUAAAGAUAACUGCAAUACGACAGCAUAAUGGAAUGCUAAGCUACUAUAUCUCAAGUAAACAUGAUGUAAGUAUGAUGUACAUCUACUCUAUCAUAAGCAAGUACGUCCAAUGGCAACAAGUAAGUGCUACGGUCCAAUGUGUUAUACAUAAAGAAUGGCUCUAUCAAGCAACCAAGUGUACUAUGAUGCAAUGAAUGAAACAGGCAAGUAUACUAUAUAUCCCGGUGCUAUGUCAUGAGCAUGUCAAAGUAAUCCAACUGCUAAACCUAUUUAGUAUUGAUUAUAACACACUUAACACCGUGUCGAUUUCCAUUUCCAAUUAAGGGCCUACCCAUGGUAGUCCAGCUUGUGCCACCUAAGUGCCUGUGGUAGCCCAACAUUCCUACUCUUGGAAUGUGUCUGUCCCACUCGACCCCGUAGGCUUCUCAAUACCGCACGAGCGAAUAUAAGUCGCGUAGGCUAACUCCGGAGUGCCGGCUUGUGGGGAGCGACCCUCACAAGCAUGUGCGAAUGAGCACAAAUGGCAAGCAAGCAUAGGCAAUACCUCAAGUAUCCAAUCAUCAUGUCUCUAACAUGGUAUAGUCACUAGCAUCCCGAAGAUCUAGUUCUAAGUCACAAUGUGAAGUUCCAACACUUACCUUGCUUGGUGCCUCUUUAUGACACCUAAGCAUGUUAACCACUAAGUCCAUUUUAUGAUCUAUGAUUCAAGUAUGACAUUAAUACUAGGUUCAUCAUGUUCCGAGCCCAAUGCCCCUUGAUGACAUUGGCCAAAAAGUUCUCAAGUAAUACCAUUUCCCAAACCCCAUAAUAGCUCUAAAGUUACAUUGAGACUCAAAUAGGCAUAGGUUUAAAUGCAUGUAAGUAAUGCUCAAUGUCACAAUAGAAAUCAUGAUACCAAGUCUCCACAGGAUGCCAAAACAUGUACAAGUUCCAUAUGCUGAUUCUCUACUAUAUAGAGGUUCAAAGUUUCAUCAUACAUAACAUAGGUAUGUUAAGCAUCCUAAAAUUCACAAUAAAUGUAUUUAGCAUGGAAAUCCAUGAAUAACCACUUAACGAAGCAUAAACCACGAGUUAUGAGAAUUUCUCAUAAUAUAGGCUAGGUCAAACCCACCAAAAUCGAAACCUUCGUUUCGCCGAACGGAGGUAUCCACAAGCUUUCUAGUACCCUAGGAACAUCAAAAAUGGGGUUACCCAAACGAAACGAAGAGCCAAAAGCUCAAUCAUUAAGCAUCAAGCAAAAAAGGGCAAAACUCACCUCAAGAGUAAAAAUCCUCUCCUAAGCUCCAAAAGAGAGCUAGAAUCCUUCCAAUCCAACCCAAAGGAAGAUUCUAAUCCAACUAAUUUAGCUCCAAAAGCCCUAGAUUCAAAAUGCCCAAAAUAAGUCCUAAAACCUCAUUCUAGGGUUCGAACCAUCAAAAAGCAACAAAACUCAAAUCUAGAGGAAGAGAAUGAGCUACUAACCUUUUAGAAGCUUCCAACAAGGUUCUAAGUUCACCAAGUGUGGAGAUCUUCCUCCUCUCAAGCUCCAAUCCCAAGCUCCAAUGGUGGAAAAGCCUUCAACACCCAAAAAGGAGCAAAAAGAGAGGUUUUAAUCUCUCUAAAUCCAAAUAAAAAUCAAGGGAAUCAAAGGGGAGAGUGUGGAGGGCUUCCUUACCUCUCCUCUUGCUGCUGGUGAGCUUAGGGGAGGCUUCAAGGGCGUGGGUGAUGAUAUAAGAAGUCCACAAAUGCAAAAACACCCCUGCAGUUCAAACUGCACGAAAUCAGCCUCCUUGUACCGGUACACGGGCCCCUGUACCGGUACAAGACCCACGAAAAUCCCAACCCGAGGCUUGGGUUGUGGGGUUCAGCGGCUCUGUACCGGUACAAGCCCGGUGGCUGUACCGGUACAACCAUCAACCUUGUACCGGUACAGCCAUCAGCCUGUACCGGUACACAGCCUCCAAAAAUGCAAUCCGAGAGUUAACCAAAAAUCCGUUUUUUCGGAUUUUUGUGCCAGGCUUUAAACCUCACUUCUCGGAAUGCGAGCCAUAGGUCGGAACACUGUCAACGACCCACCAGAAAGUCUGGAAUUGCUCAGCACACAAUCAACCACUCGAACCUCGCAAUUUGCAAAGGUCCAGUGUGUUACAUUCACCCCUCCUAAAAAGGAGUUUCGUCCGCGAAACUAAAAAGCAAAGUACCUCAAGCAUCCAUCUGAAAAAGAUGGGGAUAGCGCUCCCGCAGUGCGCUCUCCAACUCCCAAGUGGCCUCGCGCUCGUCGUGGUUGCUCCAAAGCACCUUCCCGUAGGGGAUUUCCCGGUUCAGCAAUCUCUUUACCUCGCGAGCCAAAAUCCUCAAAGGUUGCUCCUCAAAGCUCAAGUCCUCCCUCAGCUCCAAAGGCGUAGCGUCCAAAACAUGAGCCGGGUCGUGGAUGUACUUCCGAAGGACCGAUACAUGGAAUACAUUGUGCACACCCGAUAGGUUCGGUGGUAGAGUAAGUCUAUAUGCUACCGGACCUACACAUUCCAAAACCUCAUACAGUCCAAUGUAUCGGGGGCUCAACUUACCCCUGAUUCUAAAUCUUCUAAUUCCUUUGGUCGGCGAGACUUUCAAGAACACAUGGUCUCCAAUCUGAAACUCCAAGUCCCGUCAACGCUUGUCAGCGUAACUCCUCUGCCUACUCUGGGCUGUCAACAGUCACUUCCGAGCAAUGCGAACCUUGUCCUCUGCUUCCUGGAGCACAUCGGGGCCUAAAGCCAUUCUGUCGCCAACUUCACUCCAAUGAAGUGGCGAUCUACAUUUCCGUCCAUAGAGUGCUUCGAACGGUGCCAUCUUGAUACUUGCUUGAUAACUGUUGUUAUAAGCAAACUCUGCCAUCGGUAGAUGCUGCGACCAUCCUCCCUGGAAGUCAAUCACGCAGGCUUCGAGCAUGUCCUCGAGAGUCUGUAUAGUACGCUCCGACUGCCCGUCACUCUGGGGGUGGAAAGCAGUGCUGAAGUCCAAGCGCGUAUCCAAAGCAUCCUGUAGACUCCUCCAAAAAUGAGAUACAAAUCGGGGGUCUCGAUCUGAUACUAUAGAAGUAGGUACCCCGUGCAAUCGCACAAUCUCAUCCAAAUAAACCUGUGCGAGUCUCUCACCAGUCCAAGUAGUGUGGAUAGGUAUGAAAUGUGCUGAUUUCGUCAAUCUGUCCACGAUCACCCAAAUAGCACCAUACCCGGCCUGUGAGCGAGGCAAUCCCAUCACAAAAUCCAUGGUGAUCUUCUCCCACUUCCACACUGGAAUCGGUAGGCUCUGCAACUUUUCCGCAGGAACUCGGUGCUCAGCUUUCACCUGUUGACAAGUUAAACAUCUGGCAACAAACUCACCAACUUCCUUUUUCAUCCCGGGCCACCAGUAAAGCAACCUCAAAUCCUUGUACAUCUUGGUGCCUCCCGGAUGUAUAGCAUACGGUACUCGGUGUGCUUCUUGAAGAAUAUCCUCUUUAAUGCCCAAGUCCGCCGGUACACACAACCGUCCGCAGAAUCGCAUCAAUCCAUCACCGUCUAAAGUGAAGUCACCGGUGCAACCAUCAACCAUCUUAGCUCGAAUCUUUUGCAACUCCACAUCGGAAGCUUGCUUUUCUAUAAUCCUUUCCAUAAGUGUAGGUUGCACUACCAAAGUCAUCAGCCUCAAAGGUGUAUUAGGAGCCACCACCUCCAACUCCAACCGCUUCAUCUGCUCGAUCAACGGCGGUUGAGUAACCACAAGCAUCGCUAAGUUCUCCGUCGAUUUCCGACUUAGCGCAUCCGCCACCACGUUUGCCUUGCCGGCUGGUAAAGAAUAGUCAAAUCAUAAUCCUUGAGCAGCUCCAACCAUCUGCGCUGCCUCAAGUUCAACUCAUUCUAAGUGAAUAGAUACUUUAAGCUCUUGUGAUCUGUAUAUACUUGUACCGCUCGCCGUAUAAAUAAUGGCGCCAUAGCUUUAAAGCAAAAACCACGGCCGCGAACUCCAAGUCGUGAGUGGGGUAAUUCCUUUCAUAAUCCUUUAAUUGGCGAGAUGCAUACGCGAUCACUUUCUCGUCCUGCAUCAAAACACAGCCCAAUCCAUUAAAGGAAGCAUCACUGCAAAUCAUAUACCCUGCUCCAGCAGUCGGCAAGGUAAGGAUCGGGGCGGUAGUCAGUCUCUGUUUCAACUCUUGGAAGCUCCUUUCGCACGCAUCAUUCCAAAUGAACUUGGUGCCCUUAUGCGUGAGCCUCGUGAGGGGAGUAGAUAACUUUGCAAAUCCCUCAACAAACCGUCGGUAGUAGCCGGCCAAACCAAUGAAGCUCCGUAUCUCGGUCACGCUCGUCGGCCUCGGCCAAUCCUUGAUAGCUUCAAUUUUCCUUGAAUCCACAACUAUCCCUGAUCCUGAAAUCACGUGGCCCAAAAAUGCCAUCUCUCUAAGCCAAAAUUCACACUUUUUCAGCUUGGCAUAGAGCUUCUUUUCCCAAAGCACUUGAAGUACAAGCCUUAAAUGCUCCUCGUGAUCCGCAUCACUCCGGGAAUACACUAAGAUGUCGUCGAUGAACACCACGACAAACCUGUCUAAAUAAGGCUUGAAAACACGGUUCAUUAGAUCCAUAAAAGCUGCCGGGGCAUUAGUAAGCCCAAACGGCAUAACGGUAAACUCAUAAUGUCCAUACCGUGUUCUAAAAGCCGUCUUCGAUACAUCCUCAGGUCUGAUCCUCAACUGGUGAUAUCCCGACUGCAAGUCGAUCUUGGAAUACACACAAGAUCCCUGGAGCUGAUCAAAUAGAUCAUCAAUCCUCGGUAAUGGAUACUUGUUCUUGAUCGUGACUUUGUUAAGUUCACGAUAGUCCACGCACAAACGAAGUGAUCCAUCCUUCUUCUUCACAAAUAAGACCGGUGCUCCCCAAGGCGACACACUCGGUCUCACGAAACCCUUGUCCAGAAGAUCCUGCAACUGUGCCUUCAGCUCUUUUAAUUUUGCUGGUGCCAUCCUAUAGGGUGCCUUUGAGAUUGGAGUAGUCCCGGGAAUGAGAUCUACUACAAACUCAAUCUCCCUAUCAGGUGGCAUGCCUGGAAGCUCCGCUGGAAACACAUCUCUAAUUUCCCGCACCACGGGGAUAUCCUCAAUCCUAGGGGCGUCAUCCUCACCCCGCGACACAAUAGUAGCCAAGUAGGCUACGCAACCUCUACUAAUAAACUGCCAAGCUCGAGAAGAGCUAAUCGUCAUCGCAAAAAGCGAACUCUGGCAUUGUCACGCCCCGGGACCGGCAGAGGCCCUCCCGGUAGCAUGCCAGACCCGCCAUAUGUCUACACAUAUAAGGCGUCUACAAGAAAAGCGGAAGUAAAAGCAAGAGAUGGAACAAAUAAGAGAAGUGAAAUAACAAGCAACUAAUAAUAUCAGAGCGAGUAAAGUUCUAACAUCUAUACUAAUAGUAAUAGAACAUAACUAAUGCGUAAAAGUAAACAUAAGCUAUACAGUAACAGCCUCUAGUACAAAAAUGGUGGUCUCUAGUACACUGGUAAAACUCUCAACCUCUCCAAAACAAAAUACGACGAGAGGUAGACCACCUAGCGAAUCGUUCUCGAAGGAAGCUAGCUCGAAGCAACUCCCUUCCCGCGGUCCCUGGCCUCACCCUGAGUGGAAGGCUCUGAAAAAUAUCGAGAAAAAGAGGGCGUGAGAACUAUAAUUUAUAGUUCCCAGUGGGCAAUUACUGACCUCAGCUCCUGCUCCACUAGGCCCCAAAAACAAGGGUAAAUAACGUUAAUAGCAAUAAGCAAUGAAAAGGAGCAUGUAAAUAAACUGCUGAAAGAGAAAGCAUAGGUAAAAUGCUAUACCACUAUACCCCACAUAAGCACGAUGUCAAAGUGUUGUACAUCUAUUCUAUCAUAAGGAAAAGUGACCAAUGGCAAUAGUUUACUGUUACAAACCUUUAUUCAUACGUGAUGUAUAAGCUCUAACAAGGCAACCAAGUAUACUGUGAUGAAAUAGGUAACUGUCAAGUAUACUACAUGUCUCAACCCUAUGCUAUANNNNNNNNNNNNNNNNNNNNNNNNNNNCAAAACUAACCUCAAGAGUAGAAAUCUCUUCCAAAGCUCCAAAAGAGAGCUAGAACCCUUCCAAUCCAAGCUUAAGGAAGGUUCUAAACCAAUCAAUCAAGCCUCAAAAGCCCUAGGUUCAAAAAGCCCAAAAUAAACCCUAAAUCCCAAAACUAGGGUUUCAAAACAAUAAAAUCCCAAAUCCAAGGUCUAGAUGGAGAGAAAUGGCUACCAACCUCAAAAAAACUUCAAUCCAAGCUCAAAGGGUGAAGAUCUUCUCCUUUGCAAGCUCCAAGUCCAAGCCUUCAAGCACCAAGGAGGAUGAGAGGGUGAGGAAGAUGCUCCAAGUCCACUAAUAGCUCCAAACUUCUUCUCCUUCCCUCCUUCUUCUCCUUCUCCUUCUUCUUCUUCUUCUCUAUCAAGGGUGUAGAGAGGGUUGAGAGAGGAGAAAUGAGGAGAAGAGAGGGUGGAGGGGUCAUAUAGACCCUCUAAUGUAACAAAAUCCAACCAGGCCCCUCAAAAAUCCAAUAUUACCACAGCCCGGUCUGGGCAGUUUUCGCCCAGAGGGACCGGUCUCUCCCCAGUAGGGACCGGUCUCUCGCUGCGAAUCCGAAAAACCAGCGUUCGGGAACCGGUCUCUCCCCGCGCAGGACCGGUCUCUCACUGCGAAGACGCGCUCGGGGACCUGUCUCGCCCGCCAGGGACCGGUUGCCUCAGGCUGCCUCAACACUGUUCACUGGGGGACCGGUCUCUCCUUCCAGGGACCGGUCCCCGAGAGUAAAAACUCUCAGGACUUAUCCAGAAUUCCAGAUUUUCGAACUUUUUAGGUCGGAAAACAUUCUACAACCCUCCACCAAGUGUGGAAAAGCUCAAAAUACACUCGAACCUCGCAAUUUGCAAAGGUCCAGUGUGUUACAGGCAUCCUCGAUACACAACCUCCGGCUGCCCCGGCUCUCUAAAUGUCACAGUUCGAUACUUACAAUCGAUAGUGGCGUAGAACUUAAUCAACCAAUCCAUGCCCAACACAACAUCAAACUCCCCAAGUUUAUGCAAGGCUAGCAAGUCCACGGGAAUGAUCCAAUCUCCAACCCGAACAGGGCAACUAGGGCAAAACUCCCGAAUGUCCAAAGAAUGGUCGGGUACAACAACUCGUCCCGGAUGCAGCAAGGAUACAAGUGGGAUGCUAUGCAACUCGACAAACAGCCGGUCUAUGAAUAAAUGCAAUGCACCGGUAUCAAAUAAAGCUCUAACUCGAAUACCAUAAAGUAAAAUGAUACCUGCGACCACAUUCUCGGCUGCCGCCACCUCCUCAGUCUGGGCCGCUUACAUGCGUCCGCUCGGGGCCUGUCGUGACACCUCCGCCUGCCGCUGAACUGGCGGCCGUCCUGCCUGGUGAUGUGCAGAGGAUGUCCCCUGACUGGGACCUGGCGAUGCUGGUGCAGAUGCCGAAGAUGGUGCUGGCGAUGGACUCCUCGGGCAGUCCGACUGGAAGUGGCCCUCCUGGCCACACAAGAAACACCUGCCCCGGCUGCGUGAACACUGUCGCGGGUAGUGGGGACCACCACAGAUCACGCAGCCGGGGGCCUGGCGACGAUCGGGUCCUCCUCGCUGAGUAGACGAGCCACGUCCUCGCGACUGGCCCCGGCUCCUAGGGUGCCUCGGCGGCCUCCGUGAGUGCGUCUGACUCGCACCCUCAGCCGCGGGCCUCUUUCCCUUCCCUUUUUCUGAGCUCUCACGACGCUCCUGCAAAUCCGCCGCUCUUGCCUCCACUAUCAAUGCUCGAUCCACAACCUCUCGGUAGGUCUAGAGAUUGGAGGACUGUACCAACCGAAAGAUAGAAGGCCGCAAUCCGCGCUCAAAAAUGCGGGCCUUAUCCUUAUCAUCCCUCACAACGAACGGUACACAGUGAAGUAGCCAGGAGAACUCCUUCUCGUACUCGGCCACUGUCCGCUCGUCCUGGCGCAAGCUGCGCAAAUCCUGCUCCUUCUUCUUCUUGACGCUGGUCGGGAAGUAGUGCGCCAGAAGAAGCUCCUUGAACCUCGUCCAAGUAAUCGCUGCCAAGUCGGUGUUGGGGUUGUCCUGGAUAUGCAACCACCAACGGUAGGCCUCGCCGUCGAGAAAGUGAGUGGCGAGCCAAACUCUGUCUCGCUCCUCCACAAAGGUGUCUCGAAAAAGCUUCAUGUGCAUCAACCACUUCUCAACAAUCCAGUGGUCGGCGUUCUCGCCAUCAAACGUCCUCGGGCUGCAUCUCCUGAACUCACUGAAGCGCUCCAUGAGCCGAUCCCGCUCGGCUCCCUCGGCCCUCACGGGGAAAGCUGCCCCCGUGGCCGGUCUCUGAGCUGGGUGUGCCGCAGCCACCUCCUCCCGAGGUGUGGUCGCCGGUGCCGCAAGGGAAGAACUGGGCGCGGGGGACUGCGCCCUCGGUGCGACGUCCACCACGGGUGCUGGCGGUGUGGGAACCUGGGUCUCCCUCGAAGCUGCCUCCUGCUGAAGUAGGAAGUCCUCAAGAUGCUUCAUCCGCGCCUUCUGCCGCUGAACCACAACGAACCUGUCUAAAUAAGGCUUGAAAACACGGUUCAUCAGAUCCAUAAAAGCUGCCGGGGCAUUAGUAAGCCCAAACGGCAUAACCGUAAACUCAUAAUGUCCAUACCGUGUUCUAAAAGCCGUCUUCGGUACAUCCUCAGGUCUGAUCCUCAACUGGUGAUAUCCCGACUGCAAAUCAAUCUUGGAAUAUACACAAGAUCCCUGGAGUUGAUCAAAUAGAUCGUCGAUCCUCGGUAAUGGAUACUUGUUCUUAAUCGUGACUUUAUUAAGUUCACAAUAAUCCACACACAAACGAAGUGAUCCAUCCUUCUUCUUCACAAAUAAGACCGGUGCUCCCCAAGGUGACACACUUGGUCGCACGAAGCCCUUAUCCAGAAGAUCUUGCAACUGUGCCUUCAGUUCCUUCAACUCCGCUGGUGCCAUCCUAUAGGGUGCCUUUGAGAUUGGGGUAGUCCCGGGGACGAGAUCUACCACAAACUCAAUCUCCCUAUCAGGAGGCAUGCCUGGAAGCUCCGCUGGAAACACAUCUCCAAACUCCCGCACUACGGGGAUAUCCUCAAUCCUAGGGGCGUCAUCCUCACCCCGCAACACAAUAGUAGCCAAAUAGGCAACGCAGCCUCUACUAAUCAACUGCCGAGCUCGAGAAGAGCUAAUCGUCAUCGCAAAUAGCGAACUCUGGCAUCCUCGGUACACAACCUCCGCCUGCCCCGGCUCUCUAAAUGUCACCGUUCGAUUCUUACAAUCGAUGGUGGCAAAGUACUUGGUCAGCCAAUCCAUGCCCAACACAACAUCAAACUCCCCGAGUUUGUGCAAAGCUAGCAAGUCCACGGGCAUGAUCCAAUCUCCAAUCCUAACAGGGCAACUGGGGCAAAACUCCCGAAUGUCUAAAGAAUGAUCGGGUACAACAACUCGGCCCGGAUGCAACAAGGAUACAAGUGGGAUGCCAUGCAGCUCGGCAAACAGCCGAUCAAUGAAUGAAUGCGAUGCACCGGUAUCAAACAAAGCUCUAGCUCGAAUACCAUAAAGUAAAAUGAUACCUGCGACCACAUUCUCGGCUGCCGCCGCCUCCUCAGUCUGGGCCGCGUACAUGCGCCCGCUCGGGGCCUGUCGUGACCCCUCCGUCUGCCGCUGGACAGGUGGCCGACCGGCCUGGUGAUGCGCAGAAGAUGUCCCCUGGCUGGGACCUGGCGAUGCUGGUGCAGAUGCCGCAGAUGGCGCUGGCAAUGGACUCCUCGGGCAGUCCGACUGGAAGUGGCCCUCCUGGCCACACAAGAAGCACCUGCCCCGGCUGCGUGAACACUGCCGCGGGUAAUGAGGACCGCCACAGAUCACGCAGCGGGGGGCCUGACGACGAUCGGGUCCUCCUCGCUGAGUAGACUGGCCACGUCCUCGCGACUGGCUCCGGCUCCUGGGAUGCCUCGGCGGCCUCCGUGAGUGCGUCUGACUCGCACCCUCAGCCGCUGGCCUCUUGCCCUUGCCCUUAUCUAGGGCCUCGCGUCGCUCCUAAAGAUCUGCCGCUCCAGCCUCCACUAUCAAAGCUCGAUCCACAACCUCCCGAUAAGUCUGGAGGUUGGAAGACUGCACCAACCGGAAGAUAGAAGGCCGCAAACCGUGCUCAAAGAUGCGGGCCUUAUCUUCGUCGUCCCUCACAACAAACGGUACACAGUGUAGUAUCCGGGAGAACUCCCUCUCGUACUCAGCCACUGACCGCUCAUCCUGGCGCAAGCUGCGCAAAUCCUGCUCCAUCUUCCUCUUGACACUGGUAGGAAAGUGGUGCGCCAGUAGAAGUUCCUUGAAUCGGGUCCAAGUAAUCGCUGCCAAGUCGGUGUUGGGGUUGUCCUGGAUAUCCAACCACCAACGAUAGGCCUCGUCGUCCAGGAAGUGAGUGGCGAGCCAAACUCUGUCCCGCUCCUCCACAAAAGUGUCUCGAAACAGCUUUUUCAUAUGCAUCAACCACUUCUCGACAAUCCAGUGGUCGACGUUCUCUCCAUCAAACGUCCUCGGGCUGCACCUCCUGAACUCGCUAAGGCGCUCCAUAAGCCGAUCCCGUUCGGCUCCCCCGGCCAUCACGGGAAAAGCUGCCCCCGUGGCCGGUCUCUGAACUGGUAGUGCCGCAGCCACCUCCUCCCGAGGUGCGGUCGCCGGUGCCGCACGUGAAGAACUAGGCGCGGGGGACUGGGCCCUCGGUGCGACGUCCACCGCGGGUGCUGGCGGUGUGGGGCCCUGGGUCUCCCUCGAAGCUGCCGCCUGCUGAAGUAGGAGGUCCUCAAGAUGCUUCAUCCGCGCCUCCUGCCGCUGAGCCACCUCAGCCUGUCGCUGCGCCGCCGCCGUCUGCUGCCCCAACAAAUUAGUGAGAACCGCAAGCUGGGCCCUCAAGUCACGGACCUCGCUAGAUCCGGAAGUAGCGGAGGUCUCGACCUCCUCGGGGUGUGCCGCAUCAUCCGCCCCGGCAGACUGGGAGCGUGUAAUCGGCAUCGUCACUACAAAACAUAAAAGCGCAAGUUAGUAACCCACGCUAUCGCAUCCCCGCUCAAAUAGAUAAAACCCCAAAUCAUGCGAAAGUAAGGAAGUGUCCUUCACUACUAACUCCCGAUGUUACGUUGUCGGCCGCCAACGUAACCCUCCGCGAAGUUAGAAGCCAUACACUCCGAUCAAACUCUAACUUUUUAGAGUUGUCAUAAACCCAAUCAUAAUACUUUCGCUCACAAGUCAAUUAGACCUCGUCUCUCACGAGCCUAAUUCCUAUAGUCCAACCGGCCUAAGGUUCGCUAGGUCCACUAAGACUCAACCCUAGGCUCUGAUACCAAAUUAAUCUGUCACGCCCCGGGACCGGCGGAGGCCCUCCCGGUAGCGUGCCCAGACCCGCCAUAUGUCUACACAUAUAAGGCGUCUACAAUAAAAGCGGAAGUAAAAGCAAGUAAUAAAACAAGUAGAAGAAGUGAAAUAACUAGCAACUAAUGAUAUCAGAGCAAAUAUAGUUCUAUCAUCUACACCAAGGUAAAGAAGUAAAGCUAGACAGUAAAAGGAGUCAUAAGAAGUACAAUAUCUGUCUCAAAUGUACAAAAAUGGUGGUCUCUAGUACACUGGUAAAACACUCAACCUCUCGCAAAAUAAAACAUAAAUCGAGAGGUGGACCACCUAGCAACUCGUCCUCGAAGGAAGCUAGCUCGAAGCAACUCCCUUCCCGCGAUCCCUGGCCUCACCCUGCGUGGAAGGCUCUGAAAAACAUCGAGAAAAAGAGGGCGUGAGAACUAUAAUUUAUAGUUCCCAGUGGGCAAUUACUGACCUCAGCUCAAUGCACCACUAGGCCCCAAAAGAAAAGGGUAAGUAACGACAAUAAUAAUAAACAAUAAAGAGCGAGUAUAAGAACUGCUGAAAGAAAGCAUAAAUGAAAUGCUAUACUACUAUGUCUCAAGUAAGCAUGAUGUCAUGGUGAUGUACAUCUACGCUAUCAUAAGAUAAUAUGUCCAAUGCAUAAAGAGUAAGCUCUAACCAAGCAACCGAGUAUACUACAAUGCAACAAUGAAACCGGCAAGUGUGCUAUAUGUACCAAUGCUAUAUCAUGAGCAUGUCAAAGUAAUCCAACUACUAAACCUAUCUAGUAGUGAUUGUUCAUACUCAACACCGUGUCGAUUUCCAUUUCCAAUUAAGGACCUACCAAAGGUAGUCCAGCUUGUGCCGCCUAAGUGCCUGUGGUAGCCCAACAUCCCUACUCUUGGAAUGUGUCUGUCCCACUCGACCCCGUAGGCUUCUCAAUACCGCACGAGCGAACAAAAGUCGCGUAGGCUAACUCCGGAGUGCCGGCUUGUAGGGAGCGACCCUCACAAGCAUGUGCGAAUGAGCACAAAUGGCAAGCAAGCAUAGUCCAAGUCUCAAGUAUCCAAUUCUCAUGUCUCUAACAUGGUAUAGUCACUAGCAUCCCGAAGAUCUAGUUUUAGUCACAAUGUGAAGUUUCAACAUUUGCUAUGCCUAGUACCCCUUGAUGACACUUAGGCAAUUUGAUGUUCAACAUGUUUUUCAAAUCCCUCAAUGGCCCUAUCUACUAGGUUCACACAUGUCCUGAGCUCAAUGCCGCUUGAUGACAUUAGCUCUCUAAUUCACAUACAUCUAAGUUUGAUGUCAAUAAAUGGCAACUUGUCAUUCAUCAUAUCUCAAAUAAACCUAAGUUUAAAUGCACAAAUUAAAGCCCAUUUACACUAUAGAAGCAUGAAACCAAGUCUCAUAUAGAAUGCCAAAUGCAACACUAGAUCUGUCCAGCAACUCUCUACUACAUAGAGGUCCGAAAAUUUUAUUACAUAUAACAUGGGCAUUUUAAGCAUUCUAAAAAUCGUAAUAAAUGUAUUUAGCAUGAACAUGCAUGAAUUAAUAGUAUACGAAACACUUAUCACCAAAUAUGAGGAUUUCUCAUAUUAUAGGCUAGGUCAAACCCACCGACGACAAUGAAGCUUUUCGUUUGCUCCAACGGAGAUAUCCCCUAGCUUCCUAGCACCCUAGGAACAUCAAAAAUGGUGUCAUCCAAUCAAUACGAAGAGCAAUAAGCUCAAUCUUUAACCUAGGAGCAAAAAGGGCCAAACUCACCUCAAGAGUAGAAAUCUUCUCCUAAGCUCCAAAAGAGAGCUAGGGUUCAUCCAAUCCAAGCCCAAGGAAGGUUCGAAACCAACCAAUCAAGCCUCAAAAGCCCUAGGUUCAAAAAGUCCAAAAUAAACCCUAAGUCCCAAAACUAGGGUUUCAUCUCAAAGAAAGCUCUAAAAUCCAAAACUAGAGGAAAGGAUCUUGCCACUUACCUCUUAGAAGCCUCAAAACCAGCUCAAAGUCCUCAAACUUCAAGUAGCUUCCCUCAAUAAAACUCCAAACCCAAGCUCCAAGCUCCAACAAUGGUGGAAAUAGCUUCAAUAGGGAAAAAGAGAGGAAAAUCCAUCAAAAUCCAAGAAAUUGGAGAUCAAAUCCAAGUAGGGGAAAAGAGGGGCUCCCUACCUUGCUCCUCCUCAGGUUCCAGCACAAGAGAGGCCCUAUGGGCGUGGGUGCUGUUAUAACGGUGUCACAAUCGCAAAUAAGCCCCUGCAGAACAAACUGCUCAAAAUCUGCCGCCUUGUACCGGUACACGGGCCCUUGUACCGGUACAAGGUCCACGAAAUCCAAACCCGAGGCUCGGGUUGCGCUGUUCUGCGGCACUGUACCGGUACAAGCUCCGAUGGCUAUACCGGUACAACCAUCAACCCUUGUACCGGUACAAGCACAACCUUGUACCGGUACAAGCCUGCCAGAACUCAAUCCGAGAGCUGACCAAAAUCCAAAUUUUUGGGUUUCGGUGCAAGGCUUUGUACCACACUCCUCGGGACGCGUGCCAUAAGUCGGAACACAGUCAACGACCUACCAGAAAAUCUGGAAAAGCUCAGAGCACAGCUAAUCACCCGAACCUCGCAAUUUGCAAAGGUCCAGUGUGUUACAGUCCCGCAGACGGUCUCGGUGUGCGAGUGCAGAUUCUCCUCACCUAUGAGAUUGAAAGUGAGUCGGGGUUAACCCCGGGGUGGCAACCUUCGGGUUAGCCAUGAGAUUGGAUACUAUCGAGGCAUAGUUGCACGACGCACUAUGUAGUAGCUCGUUCAUUUGGAUUAUUGAGGCAUAGUAGCAUGUGCAGAUACAUCACUAUAUAGCAGCUCAUUUCUUUAUUGUUGAGACAUAGUAGCAUGUUGUAGAUACAUCACUAUGUAGUAGCUCAUUUCUAUUGUUGUUGAAGCAUAGUAUCAUGAUUAGUAGAAUAUCAUUGCUAUGUUCAUGCAUUCCAUGAUUACAGAGGCAUAGUAGCAUGUGUAUAUUCCAUUACUAUGUAGCAGCUCGUACUUAGUAGAGCGAGAUUGAGUCGGGCGAGGAGCGGGGUAGCUCUUUGCCUAGGACCUUCGAGAUUGAGUCGGGCAAGGAGCGGGGUAGCUCUUUGUCUAGGACCUUUGAGAUUUGAGAUCUUAGGCAAGUUGGCCUAGUCGAUUGGGUUGUAACAUGAAUAGCAUAAGUGGAUUGCAUUCAUGCCAUGAUUGGACAUAGUAGACUGCAUAACUAUGUUGUAGUUGUAUUUAUUACACUGUUGAAGCAUACUAGCAUGAUAGUAGGUUAUUGCUAGAUGAUGUUCCAUGCAUUCUUUGCAUUUGAUGGCAUAGUAGAUAUAGUAGCAAUGUAUUUCUAUCUACCUUUCUAUCUAUCUAUCUGUGCCAGCUUGGACCUAGUGGGAAAACCGGCGGCGUCGGCGGCCGAACCCACUGGGAACUAUAUUUAUAUAGUUCUCACCCCGUGUGGUUUUGGGGUAUAGGUACACACGAGAGCGUACCGGCAGAGGACCGUGGUAAGGGCACAGCGCCCUAGUAGCUAGUAGCUUUCCUUAUGCAUUAGAGUGCCCUCGUGUACAUAGAGAUGUAAAUGUAUUUGGAAGUUACUUAUGUAUUUGGAAAGACAUUUUGUAUUAUGAGAAUAAUAUGUAUUCAUUUGGGAAGAUGAAAAUGUAAAUCAAUAUGAAAAUUGAGGUUGAAUGAAUGUAAUAGCUAGAUGUAUCUCUCUUUAUUUCACUUGUAUGUUACUUGUGAUUCUUGCUCUUAGAUGUAUUGCACCUGUGUGCAUCGUGUUCGAUCAUGUAUGUUAUUUAAGCAUUCCCUGGGCGCUUAACUGUACAUGAUCUGGUUGCUUAGCCUUGGGCGGACAGGAGAGGUGCUGUCCGUUCGGCGUCUGAUCGACGUGCCCGGAUCUUGCCAAAUUGGCGGGUCGCGGGGCGUGACAGAUGGUCGUGGUAUCAGAGCAAGCUAAGAGCAAGUAAAGAGAGAGUUUAGGAUGACCUAGGAGACCCUAGGACAGUAAACCGUAAGGUUAUAGGUGCGUGAGUGGAACGUGAACCUAUAACGGUGGCGGAAGUUGAAUCGAUUGGGUCAAGUUAGUAAACCUCUAAGACAGAUGUUAGAGGUGGAUUCAAGGUUCAAUUUAUUCUCACUAGAGGAUGUUCAUGUUGGAUGCAUACAACAUGAAACCGAGAGAUGAGAAUAGGCACCCUUGUAUGACUUUCGCCUGAUUUGAGUCAAGCUGAUGUUAGUUGUUACGUGUUCGACCUAGAGGGUCGAGACCAACUGUGUUGUCGCGGUUUAGGAGAUCGACAAUGGUACCGCGUAGGCGAUCUUCGUUUAGAUCGGCGCGGGACGGGACAAGUGAUGUCCCAGAACGAUUCAAGCGAGCGGAGAAUGCAAACUUCGCUAUUGGUUGGCCACGCUCGUGGGAGUGAUGAGGCCACGAGUCGGUGGAUCGGUUGGCGAUCGCACCAGUUUUGGCACGUCGAGUACGGCCGGGAUUCGCGACGGAGGUGUUUCCGUCGGGGUCGGGCAAUCCGACUUCUAGCACUCCAAAGGUUGAGGCGGUGAGGGAGCGAGCGUCGAUGGCCCUCAUGAUUUUUACGGAAUUUGAUCCGCCUACCUUUGAUGGAGAGAAUGUAGAUCCGCAGAUUGUGGAGUUGUGGAUUGAUUCCAUGGAAACUCUAAUAGAGGAUCUAUGCUUAGUGCAAACGGGAGUUCUCCCAUAUCUCCAGUUACAUCCUAAACAUAGUACGGGAUGACGACGAUAUGGCCGAUUUGUUUGUGCGGAGACUUCGGCUAAAUAUUGUCAAGGUUGUGCAUGUAAGGAAGUGAAUUCUCGAAAUUUGAGAGUUUGACUUCGUUUAAAAUCGACCAUGUGUCGAGUUGGUGCACUUCGGAAUGUCCGAAAAUGCCAAAGAGGCAAAGAGUGCAUCGUAACGGACCUCGCCUUUCCCGUCUGUUGCAUCGGCUUUGGCGAUUUCGGGCCAUUAUGAAGGAGCCCUACCUACUGUUGCUUUAGCUAGACGCGCGAUGGCACCUCGUCAGCCAGAGGUGGCCCGUCGACUACGAGUGGCUGGGUGUUUGCCACUCAAGUCGAGGAACUUGCUGCCGCUAAUGAUGUCUUGGUAGGUAUGGCUUAAUACAAGCAAGCAGGUAUUUCGGCGUAAUGCGGAAUAGAUGCAUUGCAGACAUUUCCAUGGUCAGUUGCUACUAAUUAUGCAUUAGUAUAGUAGGGACCAGUGGANUCUUGCUUCUUCUUCUUCUUCUCCAAGCCCUAGAGCAAGAGUUCUAGAGAGAGAAAGAGAGGAAAAGGGAGAGAAGGGUAAAAUGGCUGUGGGAGAGAGAGGGGUGUCCACAUAUAGUGUUGUGACAAUUGCAUUUAAGCCCCUCAACUUAUUUCCCCUUGAUCUGCCCAGACUGGGCGUUUUUCGCCUUCGGGGACCAGUCUCCCCGACCAGGGACCGGUUCCCGAACGUGGGUGUUCCAGGACUUAGCCAAAUUUUCUAGUCUUUCGGCUGUUGCACAGCGAGGGACCGGUCUGCCCCUUCAGGGACCGGUCUCCCAAGGACCGGUCUCACUACCAGGGACCGGUUGCCUCAAGACUUCCUGGCAGGCUACGCGUACGGGGACCGGUCUCUCCUUCAGGGACCGGUCCCCGAGAGCACAAAAUCUGGGACUUAGCCAGAUUUCCAGAUUACUCUCUCGGGUCCCUUUUAGCCUCACUUAUGGACUCUAAUGUGCUCAUGGUCCACUCAAACUCAUUCAUCUCCGCAGUCCGCUCAUUUCGACGGAACUCGGCACGAUUUACGAGGGAUGUGGUAUGUUACAUGGAGGAAGUAGCACCAAGGAGUAAAAGAGAAGAUCAAACCACUAAAUAUCAUGCAAAAAGGGGAUCAAAUCCAAAGAGGGGAAAACAGGAGGUCCCCUACCUUGUCUCCACUGCCUCUCAGCUCAGGGAAGGCCCUAAGGAGCGUGGGGUAUGUAUAGAGUUGCUACAAAAGCGAAUACACCCCUCAAAGCUGCAGUUCUCGCAGUCUGCCAAAGUGUAGCGGUACACGGAAAAGUGUACCGGUACAAAUCCCGCGAACUCACAAACCCGACCUUCGGGUUGGCUAAAAACCACAAAUGUACCGGUACAACUAUCAAAGUGUACUGGUACAAAAUGUGUUCCAGUACAACCAUCAAGAUUGUACCGAUACACAACCCUGCUGAAGCAAACCCGAGAGCAAACCAAACAUUCAACUUUUUGGAUUUUGGUGCACAGUUAUAAACCUCAAUUCUCGGGAUGUGAGCCAUAGGUCGGAACACUGUCUACGACCCUCCAGAAUAUCUGGAAAAACUCAGAUCACAGAUUAAACAAUCGAACCUUGCAAUUUGCAAAAAUCCAGUGUGUUACAUUCUCCCCUCCUUAAAAGGAGUUUCGUCCGCGAAACUGCGGGUCAACCACGAAACAGACCCAUCCAAAAAGGAUGGAAGAAGCGCUCCAACAGCGCAUAGAUCAGACCAUGAAGGUCUCAAGCAUGACGGAAUGCUCCUCGGCAAAACACACAAGGUCCCACGAUGCCAAGACUUGGCAUAACUCAAGUAAAGCUUCCACUGAAGUUCUUCGAACUCAAGGCUUUACCGGAAGUUCCAUCUCUAGUCCGUGCCUGAUCACCAAGUCCAUCAGUCGGUUCUCACGAAACCAAGUAUUCCCAAAAGCUGAAUUCUCGUUCUCACCUUCCUCGUUCAAGUCGAGGGUAGGCCUUGCUCUGCUUCAAUUACUCUAGUAUAUAGAAUUCCAUCCAAAUACCUGUAGGAUACCGAACUUCUAAAAUUAUGAAGUUACGGUGGGAUGUAAUAUGCGGAUUUUAAUGUAAAAAGGGAAAUAAAUAAAAAUAGUAUGAGAUACUAUUUUUAUUAGAUUUAGAGAAGUGAAAUAUAAGUUUGGAAUGACCCGUGUUGAAAUCAGAGCGAAAACAGAAGAUUUAGAUUUUCUGUGAGAAACGGGGCAGAUAAAUUAGCAGAAAAUGCACAGUCUCAGAAAAUUAUGAAAACUAGCGGGGAUGCCAGAAAUAUUUUAAUGAGGCUAGAUUUAGAGUUUCAUAUUUUUCUGACACCCGUAGAGUGAGAACUAAAAUCCGACAGUUAUCUGAUAAAGAUUACAGUUCGGUACAGCUUUCGGUGACCAAACGGGGUCGAAACUGAAAGAUUAAAAUUUCUUUCGUUAAGUUAAGCAAAACCGAAUAUGACUGUCAAAUUUGAGCUCAAACGGAUAUUCAGGGAGUUCCGGCGAAAGAUAUCAGAUUUGGAGCUGCCUGAUGUGAAUAGUGUAUGCUACUAUUGAGGGUUGACUAUAAGUAGAAGCUUCUAGUGACUUGGCUUCUUCUUCACAGCCAAGCACCACCCCCACAAGAGCACGUUCAUGGUGUAGUGAGAGAAACCCUCUCUUUCUCUCUCUAAAUAUCUCUCUCAUCUCUCUAGAUCUUUCGCCCAAAUUCGCGGCGUUGGUGGAGAUCGAGCUUGCGAACGCGUUGGGAGCGACGGAUCGAGUUUUCGUGCGCCCGUUGGAUUGGCGUGCUUUCGUCUCGGCGUUCAUAUUUUGGUAAGCUAUCGGGAUUUGGCUUAAUCCUUAAGUUUAAGUGUUCUAAUAGCCUCUAAUGUGAAGUUAGCUUGUUAAAUCCUUAAUAUUUGGAUUGUUUGGAGCAUAUGUUGAGGCUAAGGUGUGAAAAUGGGGGUUUACAAAUUAGGUGGGGUUUGAUCUAAUUUGACCCUUCGUAAACCUAAUUGCUAGGUAAACGAACGCGUUGGUGAAGUCGGUUCGGCGAUUCGUCGAGCCUACGCGAAGUUAUUAAAGAAACAGACGUUUAGGCUUCGUUUCCGCCUGGAGGGCCGAGGCGACGUCGUAAAAUCAUGAAAAUGGAUUUGAAGCAUCGUGGCACAUAACCGAAGACCUUUAAUUUUCGGAUCGUGAAUUGGAGGCCGUUCGGGUGGUCGCGCGAGAGAUCGGGCCAAACCGGGUGCCGGGUGCCGCGGGAGGCCGAUUGCAAGUGUCGACAAGCAAUCGGAAUGCGAUAAAAGGUGGGGGGUGUCAUCCCGAAGCAACUGAGCUUCCUUUUAUGUCUAAGUUCUAUAUCUUGAUCAUAUUCCUAUAUGUUGAUAUAUUGUGCAUUAUAGGAUUAGUAGAUGAUUACAUUUCCAUUCCUUGCAUGUUACCUAGGUUGUGUAGCAUUGUGGGCUUGACACUUGAUCUUAGGUUGCAUGAGGAUUGGGUCUUGUGACAAGAAUCCUAUAGUGACAAGAAUGAUGAUGAACUUGGACAUGUAAUUGGCCUAGACGAGUGGCAUUUGGACUAGUGUAACAAAGACACUAUAAUAUUGACGAGUGGCAUGUCGAUUUAGUGUAUUAAGACACAUAUAACAUCAUGACAUAAACGAGUGGCAUCAAAUCUAGUGUAGUGAAACACUAUGGCAUUUGAACCUAGGGAUAGUAGAUUUUCCCGAUUGUCAUGUUGUAGACAUUAUGCAUUUGGCAUUAGUGCAUUUGAGGCAUUGAUUAUGCAUUUGGUAUUGUGCAGCAGAGGCACAUUGACCCUGGUAGAUAGGGUAUCCUCUUGUGAGGAUUGGAUCAUACUCACUAGUCUGUUUUUGCUUGUCGGUGGUCGCUCCACCGAAGCACGAGUCUCCGGAGUACUUCACUAGGGGCAGACGUAGUUGUCCCGCAGACGGUCUCGGUGUGCGAGUGCAGAUUCUCCUCACCUAUGAGAUUGAGAGUGAGUCGGGGUUGACCCCGGGGUGGCAACCUUCAGGUUAGCCAUGAGAUUGGAUACUAUCGAGGCAUAGUUGCACGACGCACUAUGUAGUAGCUCGUUCAUUCGGAUUAUUGAGGCAUAGUAGCAUGUGCAGAUACAUCACUAUGUAGUAGCUCAUUUCCAAGCAGAUUGGGUAAAGAAUAUGAAUGGCAUAGCAGAUUUGCAUUCAUACCUUGAGUUGACAUUGAGACAUAGUAGCAUGUUGUAGAUACAUCACUAUGUAGUAGCUCAUUUCCAUUAUUGUUGAAGCAUAGUAUCAUGAUUAGUAGAAUAUCAUUGCUAUGUUCAUGCAUUCCAUGAUUACAGAGGCAUAGUAGCAUGUGUAUAUUCCAUUACUAUGUAGCAGCUCGUACUUAGUAGAGCGAGAUUGAGUCGGGCGAGGAGCGGGGUAGCUCUUUGCCUAGGACCUUCGAGAUUGAGUCGGGCAAGGAGCGGGGUAGCUCUUUGUCUAGGACCUUUGAGAUUUGAGAUCUUAGGCAAGUUGGCCUAGUCGAUUGGGUUGUAACAUGAAUAGCAUAAGUGGAUUGCAUUCAUGCCAUGAUUGGACAUAGUAGACUGCAUAACUAUGUUGUAGUUGUAUUUAUUACACUGUUGAAGCAUACUAGCAUGAUAGUAGGUUAUUGCUAGAUGAUGUUCCAUGCAUUCUUUGCAUUUGAUGGCAUAGUAGAUAUAGUAGCAAUGUAUUUCUAUCUACCUUUCUAUCUAUCUAUCUGUGCCAGCUUAGACCUAGUGGGAAAACCGGCGGCGUCGGCGGCCGAACCCACUGGGAACUAUAUUUAUAUAGUUCUCACCCCGUGUGGUUUUGGGGUACAGGUACACACAGGAGCGUACCGGCAGAGGACCGUGGUAAGGGCACAGCGCCCUAGUAGCUAGUAGCUUUCCUUAUGCAUUAGAGUACCCUCGUGUACAUAGAGAUGUAAAUGUAUUUGGAAGUUACUUAUGUAUUUGGAAAGACAUUUUGUAUUAUGAGAAUAAUAUGUAUUCAUUUGGAAAGAUGAAAAUGUAAAUCAAUAUGAAAAAAAUGAGGUUGAAUGAAUGUAAUAGCUAGAUGUAUCUCUCUUUAUUUCACUUGUAUGUUACUUGUGAUUCUUGCUCUUAGAUGUAUUGCACCUGUGUGCAUCGUGUUCGAUCAUGUAUGUUAUUUAAGCAUUCCCUGGGCGCUUAACUGUAUAUGAUCUGGUUGCUUAGCCUUGGGCGGACAGGAGAGGUGCUGUUCGUUCGGCGUCUGAUCGACGUGCCCGGAUCUGGCCAAAUUGGCGGGUCGCGGGGCGUGACAAUACCCCUCAAGGGUGGAUUCCAUGGUGUUGUCCAAAGCAAGCGUAAGGGGGUUAAAUCCAUUACUCAUCUAUCAAAACUCCAUCGAAGUGCUCAUCUGAUCAACACUUCCCAAGGAGAGGUGAUGCAACAUCCACUCAUCGGCUCAUAUUCCAACGAUGAUCCUUCAAAUCCAAGAUCAAGUCUCUUCUCGAGAUGGCACAACUGAGUGCAAUUCAAUCCAAGGUUAAGUAUGGUAUACCCUUUCCAUCUCGUUGCUAUUUGCAACGUCCAUCCAUCCAUCCAAUCUUGCUUGGCGCGAACGGUUCCAAAUCAACAUCCGAGGUAGCCAUCCUUCCAAUAGUAACUGGAAUCGACUCAUCGUCCAAACUCGCUCAUCAUGGCGAUUAUUUAAUUCCUCAAUCGACACAGCACUACGAUGCCUCCACAUCAAUCUCAAACUCACCACUCGGGAGUACCCUCAAAUCCGCUGCAAUACAUGGUCAGGGACCAAAGCUCAGGAGCUUCGUCAUUCCACUAAGAUCAUCAUCUUAGUCUCAACUCAAGUCCAAGUAAACUCUUCGCAAGCCUAAGCCAAAGGCUCAACUUCGAUAGAAUGUCUCAUACAUUAAUCAUUCAGUUGCUCCAUAAGAAUCAUUCAAAAAUUUUCAUCCUCAAUGCUUUCCUUAGCAUCGGAUGCUCCAAGUGUUCAUAGUCACCGAGCCCAUCUCAAGUGAUAGAGAGGGAUCAAUCCGCAAUUCAAUAAUAGCUCUCUAUCAAUGUCAUCCUAAUGUGACCAUCAACCAAAGAUACGAAUCCAACAACUCUCUCACGCAGUUCCAUCCCCCAGAUUUUAAUUCCUAGUGCAUAAACUGGGCAAGGGGAAAAAUAGCAACUUGGUAUUUUUUCCUCUCGAGUUUCUCAACCACUCGAUCCAACAGUGGGAGUUUCACACAUCGAUCAUGUCAAUCUGCCCCACAGUCGGCCCUCGCAAUCCUUCGUAGGAAUACUCACUGCUAUCCACGACCGGUUCCACAAAUCCAUCCAAAGGGCUUGGAAUUAUCAUUCCAUAAGUCCCUAACACUGGUGGAGUACUACAGGCUUAGGCAACAUCACCCUCGUGAUGUCCCCACCUAGCAUCACAAUCCGUUUUGAGGUACGACCUCAAACUCCAACAUCAAACAGUACUACUCAGAUUGCUUACAAUCUUAUCGAGUACACCAACAACUUGAGGCCAUUUGACAAGGUCAAUGAGCCUCAGCACGGUCCAAAUAUCCAAUCGUGGUUCAAUUUGAAUCACGAUAGUCGACAUACAGUCGAAACGGCCCAACCGGUCCCACAACAAGUGAAAGUGCUCCUCCGCAAGCAAAACACUAACUAUAAAACCUCCCCGCCAAUCGAGUUCACAGUUUGUGACUCGGUCGGAGACACAACGACAGAUCAAAGACAUCCUUCAUUCCGAGGAUCCUUGAUCACCAGAAACUAAUGGCCAAUUAGGCCCCAAAUCCUCUCCAACACUUACCCAAUUUUAGAUAAGGGAGACAGUCAAUGCUACUAGUGGAAAUAAAUCCUCAAAUCGCACUAUUUCAUGCUCAAAAUCCUCGAAGCUAGUCAAGUCAGCUCGCAAUACCAAAGGUACCAAGUACCUAUAAUCUCCACACCAAGUAAGGCCAAUCCAUUUGUUGGCGUACAAAAUCCUCUCAAAGGGUAGGGUGUUCAAAAUGACACACCCGGUCUUCCGAUCAUCCUACAUGCAUCGAAAAUGAUCAAUGCAAACAAAUCCUCGGGUCGGGUCACUACACACUCGGUGUAUCCUCGAUCCCAUGAUCUAACACGUGGCAUACCACACUCCUGGGUCUAAGCUCAGACUACCGUCCUGACCAAAACUCUGCCCUACCCGUAGGUACCGGGCUGCUGUCGUACACAGCUGACUGCGCCUGCCCAAAGGGCCCAGGCUCCAUAGUCUACAAACGGUCCAGGCACGGGACGUCCCCAAGCUCCAACCGGCAAACAGCCGACCAAGGGAUGCAAACAAUACAAUCAUCGUGAGAUCCACAAAGCAUAGCAAAACAUGCUACCCGCAACCCGCAAAUCAACCUCCUAACUCGGGAGGUGCCAAUCAUCAUCGCAAACAGCGAUCAAACGGUAUGCCAUACAACUCGGCGAAUAGCCGAUCAAAGAAUAGAUGCAAUGCACUGGUAUAAAAUAAUGCACAAAUCGAAUGCCACAAAACAGACAGAUACCUGUAGCCACAAGCUCGGCUGCUGCCGCCUCCGCGGUCUGGGCUGCAUACAUGCGCCCGAUCGGGGCCUGCCGUGACCCCUCCGUCUGUCUCUGGACAGGUGGCCUCCCGGCCUGAUUGUGAGUAGAAGGCGUCCCCUGGCUGGGACCCGGUAACACUGGUGCUGAUGCAGAAGAUGGCCCUAGUACUGAACCCCUCGGGCAGUCCGACUGGAUGUAGCCCUCCUGACCACACAAGUAACACCUGCCCUGCCUCUAAGAGCACUAUCGUGGGUAAUGACGACCACCGCAGAUCACGUAACUUAGAGUCUGGCGACGCUCAGAUCCUCCACGCUGUGCAGAUGAGCCACGUCCUCGCGAUUGGCUCCUGUUCCUAGAAUAUCUCGGCGGCCUCCCAGAGUGCGUCUGACUCGCACCCUCAGCCGCAGGCCUCUUGCCUUUUCCUUUGUCCGAGCCUCUUCGACGCUCUUGCAAGUCCGCCGCGCCGCUCUUCACGAUGAACGCGCGGUUCACCACAUCUCAGUAAGUCUGAAGGUUGGAGGAUUGCACCAACCAAAAGAUCGAUGGCCGUAGUCCUCGCUCAAAGAUGCGGGCCUUGUCCUCGUCAUCCCGCACAACGAAGGGCACAUAGUGUAAAAGCCGAGAGAACUCCCUCUCAUACUCGGUCACAGUCCUAUCCUCCUGGCGCAUAUUGCGCAGAUCCUGCUCCAUCUUCCUCUUGACACUGUCGGGGAAGUAGUGCUCUAACAGAAGUUCCUUGAACUUCUUCCACGUAAUCGCCGCAAGGUCGGUGUUGGGGUUGUCCUGGAUACCCAACCACCAGCUGUAGGCCUCGCCGUCCAAAUAGUGAAUAGCGAGCCAAACUCUGUCCCUCUCCUCCACGAAAGUGUCGCGGAAUAACUUCUCCAUGUGCAUCAACCACUUCUCAACGAUCCAGUGGUCGGCUUUCUUUCCAUCGAAGAUCCUGGGGCUACACCUCCUGAACUCAUUGAGGCGAUUCAUGAGCCGCUCCUGCUCCGCCCCCUCAACCAUCAUGGGAAAAACCGCCACUGCCACAGGCACCUGUGCUGGUGGUGCCGCAAAUACCUUCUCCCGAGGUGCUACCGCAAAUGCCGUCGGCAAAGUGCCGAGUGCAGGGGACGACCCCCUAGGUGCAACCGUCUCUACCGGCGCUGGUGGUACAGGGGCCUGAGUCUCCCUGGCAGCCGCCUGCUGUAGUAGAAGAUCCUAUAGGCGCUGCAUCCGUGCCUCCUGCCAGUGCGCCGCAUCUGCAUGCUGUCGAGCCGCCGCCACCUGCUGCGUCACCAAGUCAGUGAGGGCCACAAGCUGGCUCCUCAACUCACGGACCUCGCCAAAUCCGAAGGUAGCGGAUGUCUCCGCCUCCUCAAAGGUUGCCGCGUCGUACGCUCCAACAGACUUAGAGCGUACAGUCAGCAUCAUCACAUCAACAUCAUAAAAGCGCAAGUUAAUAAAACCCACGCUAUCGCAACCCCACUCAAAUACCAAUGCCCAAAUCCUACGAAAGUAAGGAAGUGUCUUAUACUGCUAACUCCCGAUGUUACGUUGUCGGCCACCAACGUAACCCUCCGCGUAGUUAGAAGCCAUACACUUCAAUCGAACUCCAACUUCUUGGAGUUAUCAAAGAAACCCAAUCAUGAUACUUUCGCUUACAAAUCAAAUAGACCUCGUCUCUCACGAGUCUAAUUCCUAUAGUCCAAUCGGCCUAAGAUUUGCUAGGUCCGCUAAGACUCAACCCUAGGCUCUGAUACCAAAUUAAUCUGUCACGCCCCGGGACCAGGCGUAGGCCCGCCCGGUGCGUGCCCAGACCCGCCAUAUGUCUGCACAUAUAAGGCGUCUACAACAAAAACGGAUAAAUGAACAAGAAGUUGAAAGUAUCUAGAGAUAUUAGAGCAAAUACACAGCUAGGUUCUAUCGACAAGUAGAGUCAAAAAGAGAACUGAACCACUAAAGCAUAAAGUAAACUAAUACAUCAUAAAUCUCAAGAUACAAAAAUAGGGUGGUCUCUAUAACCAGGAACAAAACUCUCACAACCUCUCCAAAAGAAAACAAAAGAGAGGUGGACCACCUAUCACCAAGUCCCUCGAUAGCUAACUCGAGGCGAAAUCUUUUCUGCGAUCCCAAGCCUCUUCCGGAGUGGAAGUGUCACGCCCCGGGACAAGCGAAGGCCCUCCCGGUAGCGCGCCCAGACCCGCCAUAUGUCUACACAUAUAAGGCGUCUACAACAAAGGCGGAAGUAAAGCAAGAAGUAGAACAAAUAGCAUAAUGAUAACUAAUGAUAUCAGAGCGAGUAAAGUUCUAUCAUCUAAACCAGAGUAAAAGAAACAUAACUAAACAAUAAAAGUAGCCAUAAAGUAGUACAAUACUAUCUCCUCAAAAGGAAAACAAUGAUCCAAAAGAAUGGUGGUCUCUAUACAUAAACGGGUACAACUCACAACCUCUCACAAAAUAAACCACGAGAGGUAGACCACCUAUCAAAUCGUCCUCGAAGGAAGCUAGCUCGAAGCAACUCCCUUCCCGCGGUCCCUAGCCUCUCCCGACGUGGAAGGCUCUGAAAGAAGACAUAAAACAGAGGGCGUGAGAACUAUAAUUUAUAGUUCCCAGUGGGCAAUUACUGACCUCAGCUCAUUGCACCACUAGGCCCAAAAGAAAAGGGGUAAGUAACGACAAAUAGUGAUAAGCGAUAAUUGGCGAGUAUAAAAACUGCUGAAAGGAAGCAUGAAUGAAAUGCUAUACUACUAUGUCUCCAAUAAGCAUGAUGUCAUGGUGAUGUACAUCUACGCUAUCAUAAGGUAAUAUAUCCAAUGCAUACUAAUAUGCCUCAACAUGAUGAACAAGUAAACCUCACAAUACAAUAUAUCAAGACAACCCAGUAUACUAUGAUGCAAUGCAUGAAACCGGCAAGAGUACUAUAUAGCCCAAUGCUAUAUCAUGAGCAUGUCAAGUAAUCUAACUACUAAGCCUAUCUAGUAGUGAUUAUUCAUCCUCAACACUGUGUCGAUUUCCUUUUCCAAUUAAGGACCUACCAAAGGUAGUCCAGCUUGUGCCGCCUAAGUGCCUGUGGUAGCCCAACAUCCCUACUCUUGGAAUAUGUCUGUCCCACUCGACCCCGUAGGCUUCUCAAUACCGCACGAGCGAACAUAGGUCGCGUAGGCUAACUCCGGAGUGUCGGCUUGUAGGGAGCGACCAUCACAAGCAUGUGCGAAUGAGCACAAAUGGCAAGCAAGCAUAGUCCAAGUCUCAAGUAUCCAGUCCUCAUGUCUCUAACCUGGUAUAGCCACUAGCAUCUCGAAGAUCUAGUUCUAAGUCACAAAUGAAGUUCCAAUAUUCUCUAAGUCUAGUUGUCACGCCCCGGGACCGAUACCAAUUUGGCCCGAUCCGAGCACGUCAAACAGACGCCGAACGGACAGAGUUUUCCCUAUCCGCCCAAGGCUCAUCACAUGUACAUUUUCAUCAAUAGAGAAAAGCACUAGCGGAAACAUACAUAAACGGCUUACACGAGGGUAAGCAAUAGCCAUUAGUGAAAGAAAGGAAAACUAAACAUCUACGCAAGUAACAUGAUUCAUUUUAGAUCAUAUACAUUGCAUUCAUAGCUUACAUUUUGGAUUCUUUGCAUUUCAUUACAUCACUCCAUCAUUUCUUUCUUACAUCACAUAUACCUCAAAAUACACAUUACAUUCUUUUCUUUACAUCAUUCAUCAUCAAGUACAAAAGAUGAGCAUAGGGUACUUUACUACAAAAUGAACCCAACUGUGGUGGCCUCUGACUAAGGCGCGAUACCUUUACCUCGGUCGCUCGCCGGCUCGCUCCGUCCCAGGGCUUUGUGGAAAUAGUGAGGUGAGAACUACAACGAAGUUCCAGUGGUUCGGCCUCAACAUCACCGACUUCCCCACUAGACUAACUCAGGCAUAAUAGAAAGGUAAGCAGGAUAUAGUAACCAAUCUAUAACAUGAUGCUAAUAUGCCUGAACAAAUAGCAAGAAGUAUGCUCACAUUAAAUAAAUGCAGACUAGCAAACUCAUUCGUUUUUUGACUUUACUUUGUCUUUGUUCUUUAUUCUUUGCUCUCUGUCUUUGUUCUUUAAUCUCAAGCUAACCGGAGUUUCGCCACAUAGCUUGCUUCACAAUUAAUCCAUCAUCGCAGGAACUCACCAUACAGGACCGUCCUUUGGUUUACUCCAACCCGUGAUGCAUUAACUCCGGAGCGCAUCGCCCGAGGGGACGACCGCCCUCGAGCACGCGAACAUAGGCAAGUAUGAUCAUAUCCUUAAUCAAAGGAUCAUAAUUCUAAUCUUGACUUUACACUAGCUCUAGUGUUCUUUACAUCACUUUAUGUUGCAAACUCAUGCACUCACAUUCUUUACAUUUUCAUUACUCUUGCUAACCCUAGCAUUCUUGUUCUUUACAAUUCUUGUUCCUAUUGCCCCACUUUACUUUAACUUCACCCGUUGUCAUUUUCAUCAUUCUUUUCAUCACUUUAGUUCUUUACAUCACACUAACUCUAGUGUCAUUUCACAUUAGCUUUAUCGAAUGCCACUCGAUCUAUGUCCUUGUGUCACUCUGUUCUUUUGCUCACUUUGGGUGCUCACUUUUCUCUCAUGCAUACACAUAGGGUUUUCGACAUCACAUAGUUCCCAUUCAUCAUAUUAUGCAAGUUGUACUCACAAUCAUGCAUCAUUACAUUUUCAUCAUACUUUACCCUAAAAUGCAUGCAACAAAUAAUAUAUACAUGCUCAAAUGAAUGACACAUUAGGCAUAGAGAGAAGUUCAAUAAGUUUGAGAAGCACCACCCACCUCGUAGGCUUUCAAAGGUGCUCCGAUAAUUUUCUUGGGAUUUUUAGUCACCCGGUUCACUAUCUGCGGCAAAACGAAGCCCUAUUAGACCAUUUUGCUCAUAUCUUUACUUUGGCUUCUCGUAACGUUAGUCCGAACGCACCAACGCGUCGGAAAUACCCCCAAUUAGGUUUUUGAAAGGUCAAUUUCACAUAGAAAUCCCCAUGAGUAAAAGCCCCAAUUUGGGUGCCCUAGCUCCAUUGCAUGUGUAAACCUAGGGUUCGAUCUCAUUGGGAAGCAAAAGUAGCUUCAUUAUACUCUAAAUAGUCCAUUAGAACCAUCCCUAGCUCACUCCAAACCCUAGUUUGGAUUUCACCAUGAGAGGUGAUGAAGCUCACCUCAAGCUUCACCAUUUUCAUGGUCUUGAUCUCAAAAGAAGCAAAAAGAAAGCUUCAAAUACUCCAAAGGUUCCAUAAAAACCGUCUUCAUUCUAAUCCAAACCCUAGUUUGGAAUUAAACAUGAGAAGGGGCAAAGCUUACCUCUAAGCUUGCUCCUUUCUUGCUCUAGAGAGGAAGAAGAUGAAGCCUCUUUGCUCCUUGACCUCCUUUUUCACUUUCUUCUCCUUCUUCUCCUUGUUUUCUUCCUUUCUUCUUCUUCUCCUNUACAUAUUUCUGAACUUUCUCGUAAUAACCACCGGCCCAUACUUUUCUCUAUAACCCCUCAAGCACCGCGUUACAAAUUGCACGGUUGUUCAUUUUCGGCUCGCGGCUAAAAGCCGCCCUUUCGAUGUUUCAGAUGGUUAUGGGCAAACCUUUACCCUUCUGUAUCGUUACCUGAAACAGUGACCAAACGGAGCUAGUGUUCCGCCUGUGCUACGCCAUACCCACUAUCACCUAGCUAAUUGUUUCAGCCGCGUGAAGAACAGCUAUGUAUGAUGCACCAGCCCUCUGUUCAAUCGGGUUCACAUAGAGCUGCUCCAACACUCUGAAGUACCCCAAGGUCAUAGCUAGCACAGCCUAGCUCUGGGGUCCAAGUGUAGGGUAAAAACCUUCUCAAACGUUCUGCGCGAUCCGUGCGCCGAGCUGAAAUCGUGUCACAAAGUAGGAGUCUCACUACCUGUCAGUCUCGCCUGCUAUGUUUAGGAGCUCCUGGACGAAGCUCGUACACACGAUCUAAUGUUUCCUCCUACCGUACUAAAGAACGGAUACCGCCUCAAGCGGAUAUUGUUAUCGAUGGUUCUUUCAUAUCGCUACCGCGGAAAACUCCGUGAUAUACCAGCUUUCACAGCAAGAGGAUAGGUAACCUCGCUGCACCCGCUCUCCUGCCGAGAACCGGGCCUACAUCACGCCCUCCGCCUUCUUUUUCAAGCGGAGCGGGCGGUUGCCAAUCGCCACCGCGUCGGAGCCGUUUUCUCAAUACGGCUGUUUUCUUCUUUCCUAAAUCUCAAGCGUCAACCUCUGGCACAUAAGAACUCUCAUAGCGGCCACGCUCCUCAGUUUGCUAAACCCCAGGCACCCUUUGAUUCAGGGGCUAUACAGCCUGGCAAACUCUAUAACCUUGCACACCCACGCCACCGCAUAUUCGAGCGUGAUGGUGGCUCUGAGCGCCCUCAAGUGUUACAAAAGGUACACAGGUUAGAAGCCUUUAUAUAAGCGUUGGGCUGUGUACAUAAUCUCAUGCUCGGUCACCUCGAUGCACUUCUAUACAGAAUACUCCUCAUGGGCCACACGUAGGAGUUAGCUCUUCAAUUUUUCAACGCUUCAGCGUUCUAAGGUAUACAAUUUCAGGUCACCUCGUUGGUGCACCACGCUCUUCGGUGAACCCUCGAGCUCCUUUGGUACGCCGCUCUCAUGGGCGUAGAUAAACUCAGUUGCUCAAUUCCAUACGUAAAUUAAAGCGCCUGCUUUAAUAAAAUUCCCCACCUCUUACAUUAUAUGGCUUUUAAACCUUUUAUUUACAGCUUGAAAUCAGUUUAACUGGAUUCACGCUCCUGCCAUAUGAAGCCUUUUAGGCUUCCACAAUUUUACUAAUUUUCACUCAAUGCCCUCCAAAAGCUCUCGAUAUCUUAGUUUUAGACGUAAGACGUCAAAACUCGAGAGCCCCUGGCCAGGGACCACCCUCUCUGGCCAGGGGCUUGCGCACGUCUUAUUCUGUCGGUUUUUUAGCCGAUUCAGAACCUUCUAGUCGAGAGCCCUUGGCCAGAGACGAACUCUCUGGCCAGGCGGUCUCUGGCCAGGGUGGUCUCCCUCUGGCCAGCGUAACGCGCGUCGUCGAGACCGACGCGUCCCACCUGGAAGCCCUUGGCCAAGGCCGAGCCCCUCUGGCCAGAGACGGACGCUUUUGACGGGUCAGGUCCGUCACGUGUCUCUAUUUUCGACUCCCUAAAUCGACGUUAAAACGUUGGGUUAUCGAUACAUACUCCCGUUUACUCUAUAAAGAGAGUAAAAGAGUGGGAGAGUGUGAGAGAAGAGAGGGAGAGAGAGAGAUCUUCUGUUUCCUCUUCUUCUUCUUUCCUUCUUUUGUUCCUCUUCUUCCUCUUCUUUCACUUUUUCCUCCAGUUCCUCGUUUCUCCGAAGUAGAAGAAGGAGAGAUCUCGUUCUUUCCUCGUUCGAAUCUCCAUUCGAAACGGGGAAGAGUACAAAUUAAGGUUUGAUCCCAAAUUUAGUGCCGCCGGGGUGUAUGCUAUAAGGGGAUUGGUGCGCUUCUUGCAUAAUCGCCCUUCGCAACUCCUCAUCCUUUGGUACACACCAUCGAUUUCAAAAUCGAAGUGCGCCAUUAGCUCCAACGACAAAAUCUUCGGCCUUACCGCUCUCAACAUCACCUCGAACCUUUUGGAGAUAAGGAUCCGAAGCUUGUAACUCUUUGAUUCUCUCAAAUAGGGUCGAUUGCACAACUAAUGCGGCAAGUGUAGCCGGUACUCCCGGCGCCACCACUUCCAACCCGAACCGUUGCAUCUCCAUUUGCAAUAGCGGUUGAGGCGUAAUCGCCGUCGCUAAGUUCUCCGCCGAUUUUCUACUUAGACCAUCGGCCACAACUUUGGCUUUUCCGGGGUGGUAUAGUAUGGUGACAUCAUAGUCCUUUAGCAACUCUAACCACCGCCGCUGUCGCAUGUUCAACUCUUUCUGGGUGAACAAGUACUUUAGACUUUUGUGAUCGGUGUAUACCUCACAAUGUUCACCAUACAAGUAAUGCCUCCAAAGCUUUAGCGCGAAAAUCACCGCGGCUAACUCGAGGUCAUGGAUUGGGUAGUUCUUCUCAUAACUCUUUAACUGGCGCGAUGCAUAAGCAAUGACUCACCCAUUUUGCAUUAAUACACACCCGAGUCCAACGUAAGAGGCAUCACUGUACACUACAAAAGUCUCCCCCGGAGUCGGCAAGGCAAUCACCGGGGUUGACGUUAAUCUGUUCUUUAACUCCUCGAAGCUUCGAUCGCAAUCGUCGCUCCAAACAUACUUUACUCCUUUAUGUGUGAGGCGCGUUAGUGGAGUGGUUAUUUUGGCGAACCCCUCCACGAACCGCCGGUAAUAGCCCGCAAGUCCAAGAAAACUGCGGACCUCCGCUACAUUCGUCGAGCGAGGCCAAUCCUUGAUCGCCUCUACUUUCUUCGGGUCUACUGACACUCCGUCGCCCGACACCACAUGGCCCAAAAAUGUGACCUCCUUUAGCCAAAAGUCACACUUCUUUAACUUUGCAUAGAGCUUCUCCUGCCUGAGUAUCUGCAACACAGCUCUGAGAUGCUCUUCGUGCUCCUCUUCACUUUUCGAGUAAACCAACACGUCGUCUAUAAACACUACGACGCAUCGAUCCAACAAUGGCCUAAAGACUCGAUUCAUCAAGUCCAUAAAUGCUGCCGGGGCAUUAGUAAGCCCAAACGGCAUUACCGUAAACUCAUAAUGGCCAUACCGCGUACGGUACGCUGUUUUAUGCACAUCUUUCGGCCUGAUCUUUAAUUGAUGAUACCCCGAUUGGAGAUCAAUCUUCGAAUACACCUUGGACCCUUGCAACUGAUCGAAUAGAUCGUCAAUCCUUGGCAACGGGUACUUGUUCUUUAUCGUUACUUUAUUCAACUCGCGAUAAUCUACGCAGAGUCGAAGUGUGCCAUCAUUUUUCUUCACAAAUAGUACCGGAGCUCCCCACGGUGACACACUCGGCCUCACGAAGCCUUUAUCGAGCAAGUCUUGUAGUUGACCUUUUAGCUCCUUUAGCUCCACCGGUGCCAUUCUAUACGGCGCCUUUGAAACUGGUUCUGCCCCGGGAAUUAAGUCAAUGACAAACUCAACUUCCCGGUCCGGUGGCAGUCCCGGUAACUCCGCCGGAAAUACAUCCGGGUACUCGCACACUACUCGGAUAUCCCCCAGCUCUGGGUACUCCUUUCGAGCAUCCACCAUGGUUGCCAAAUAGGCCUUACACCCUCCUUUGAUCAUUCUCUUCGCCCUCACAGACGAUAUAGUCGCCGCAAAGCGUCUACUUUUGCACGCUUGGUAGAUUAACUCUUCUUGAUUAGGCUCACGAAAAGUGAUCACCUUGCUUUCACAAUCUAUGACUGCAUAGUACUUGGAGAGCCAGUUGGUCCCCAAGAUAACAUCAAAUCCCCACAUCUGGUCUAGCACUAGCAGAUCAAUUGGCAUAAUCCAAUCGCCUAUUUGCACUGGACACGCCAAACACUCAUUAUGGACACUGAAUGAGUGCUCUGGAGCGUUCACCCACCAAUAAUCCUCAUUGUAUACCAUCUCUAUGCCAUGUGUCUUAGCAAAUGAAGUGCUAAUGAACGAAUGAGAUGCGCCUGUAUCAAACACUGCUCUAGCCCUAGUGCCUUUAAUCACAAUUAUACCUGCCACGACGUCGUCGGGUGCUGCAGGCUGUUGCUCCUCCACCUGAGCGGCGAAGACUCGGCCGCUAGGCGCUCUCGAUCCCUCCGGCUGGCGCGGUGAUGACGCGCGCCCAGCCGACAUCGCCGGUGGUAACCCAGCAAGCUGUCUCGGGGUAGACGGUGCUGAUGCCGCCGUCGGCGUAGACGACGUCCACGACGGGCACUCCCGAAUAAGAUGUCCCGGUUGGCCGCACUUGAAACACUUGCCGUCUCGCUGGGGGCAAGUCGACACCUUGUGCUCACCACCACAAAUAACACAUCGAGGUGGUCUCCAAUUCCUCACUUGCUGUCGGGGAUACCGAGGGGUUUCUUAGCAUUUGGCCGGCCCCCGGCACCGCCCGCCGUCCUCUUCUUGCCUUUGUCCCUGGACUCGGCAAUAGCCUCCCAUUCUUCGCGUACAUGGGCGCUACCGUGCUCCGCCCACAAAGCUCUAUCGAAGACCUCCGCAAAGGUCGACAGCUUCAAGAUCUGCACCUUCUCAUAAAUUCGGGGUUGGAGUCCUCGCAAGAACCAAUCCGCCCGAUCCCGAUCAUCACGAACAACGUCGGGAACGCAGUCAAUAAUGUGAGAGAAUUCUUGCUCAUACUCUCCCACCGAUCGAUCGCCUUGUCUUAAGUUGCGGAACUUUUCUUGUAGCCUCCGCUUCACCGUGUCGGGGAAGUAGUUCGCGAACACCGCUCUCUUGAACUCUUCCCAAAGCAUGAGCGGAAGAUCGGUAGGACGACCCCGCUUCACUCGCUUUCACCACACCUUUGCCGCUUUCUCAAGACAAUGGGUGGCGAGGUACACUUUGUCUUUCUCCGAGGUAUUUAGGUCCUCGAAGAGUGUCUCCAUCGAGUCGAUCCACGACUCCACAACCGCUGGCUCCACCAAACCGCCCUCGAAGGUAGGUGGGUCGAACUUCUUGAACUGAAUGAGAGCCGCCAAAGUGCGCUCUCGCUCCGCAUCGAUUGCCACGCUAUCGGGAUUAGAAGUUCACGACCCGGCCGGUACUACCGUAACUGGAACAGCCGCUGCUGCUGCCGCUCCCUCAACAACACUCGGCACUACCACAGGGGGCGCGACAUGGUCGACGCCCGCCUGGGCCGCCGUCGCUUGCUGACGCUCCAAGGUCUCCUGGAGCCGCUGAAUCUGCUCCCCUUGGCGUUGAACAGACUCCGCUUGCUGCCGCACUACGCCAAUAAGCGCGGCCAUUUGUUCCCUAAGCUCUCCGUCGCCACUUGCUCCGGAUUGCUCGGGUACCGCAUUCGCUUCCUCUGGCAUCGACCUUGCCUGCGAUCGACGUCGGGGUGCCAUUGCUUCCUGAAAUGAAGCAACUCGUAUUAGUCACUUGACCAACAUUACUUGACCAUACCCAAUUAGGCGAAAGCAACAUGCACAUUCAUCCUUGCCUCAAGCGUCAUGUCGUCGGCCGCCCGACACAACACUAGAAGUAGAGGAUAAACAAAAUUAAACCUAGCCUCUAAUCACAUUAGAGACAUCCCAACUUAACCCAAUCACAUGCUUUCGCUAACUUUGAUUCAACGUCACUCGCGUUUCCUAGAUCCUUAAGGCCUUCCAAUCCUAUAGGUCUCUAGGUCCAUUCCUAUUCUUUCACUAUUGGCUCUGAUACCACGCUAUCUGUCAUGCCCCGGGACCGAUACCAAUUUGGCCCGACCCGAGCACGUCAAACAUACGCCGAACGGACAGAGUUUCCCCUAUCCGCCCAAGGCUCAUCACAUGUACAUUUUCAUCAAUAGAGAAAAGCACUAGCGGAAACAUACAUAAACGGCUUACACGAGGGUAAGCAAUAGCCAUUAGUGAAAGAANNNNNNNNNNNNNNNNNNNNNNNNNNNNNNNNNNNNNNNNNNNNNNNNNNNNNNNNNNNNNNNNNNNNNNNNNNNNNNNNNNNNNNNNNNNNNNNNNNNNNNNNNNNNNNNNNNNNNNNNNNNNNNNNNNNNNNNNNNNNNNNNNNNNNNNNNNNNNNNNNNNNNNNNNNNNNNNNNNNNNNNNNNNNNNNNNNNNNNNNNNNNNNNNNNNNNNNNNNNNNNNNNNNNNNNNNNNNNNNNNNNNNNNNNNNNNNNNNNNNNNNNNNNNNNNNNNNNNNNNNNNNNNNNNNNNNNNNNNNNNNNNNNNNNNNNNNNNNNNNNNNNNNNNNNNNNNNNNNNNNNNNNNNNNNNNNNNNNNNNNNNNNNNNNNNNNNNNNNNNNNNNNNNNNNNNNNNNNNNNNNNNNNNNNNNNNNNNNNNNNNNNNNNNNNNNNNNNNNNNNNNNNNNNNNNNNNNNNNNNNNNNNNNNNNNNNNNNNNNNNNNNNNNNNNNNNNNNNNNNNNNNNNNNNNNNNNNNNNNNNNNNNNNNNNNNNNNNNNNNNNNNNNNNNNNNNNNNNNNNNNNNNNNNNNNNNNNNNNNNNNNNNNNNNNNNNNNNNNNNNNNNNNNNNNNNNNNNNNNNNNNNNNNNNNNNNNNNNNNNNNNNNNNNNNNNNNNNNNNNNNNNNNNNNNNNNNNNNNNNNNNNNNNNNNNNNNNNNNNNNNNNNNNNNNNNNNNNNNNNNNNNNNNNNNNNNNNNNNNNNNNNNNNNNNNNNNNNNNNNNNNNNNNNNNNNNNNNNNNNNNNNNNNNNNNNNNNNNNNNNNNNNNNNNNNNNNNNNNNNNNNNNNNNNNNNNNNNNNNNNNNNNNNNNNNNNNNNNNNNNNNNNNNNNNNNNNNNNNNNNNNNNNNNNNNNNNNNNNNNNNNNNNNNNNNNNNNNNNNNNNNNNNNNNNNNNNNNNNNNNNNNNNNNNNNNNNNNNNNNNNNNNNNNNNNNNNNNNNNNNNNNNNNNNNNNNNNNNNNNNNNNNNNNNNNNNNNNNNNNNNNNNNNNNNNNNNNNNNNNNNNNNNNNNNNNNNNNNNNNNNNNNNNNNNNNNNNNNNNNNNNNNNNNNNNNNNNNNNNNNNNNNNNNNNNNNNNNNNNNNNNNNNNNNNNNNNNNNNNNNNNNNNNNNNNNNNNNNNNNNNNNNNNNNNNNNNNNNNNNNNNNNNNNNNNNNNNNNNNNNNNNNNNNNNNNNNNNNNNNNNNNNNNNNNNNNNNNNNNNNNNNNNNNNNNNNNNNNNNNNNNNNNNNNNNNNNNNNNNNNNNNNNNNNNNNNNNNNNNNNNNNNNNNNNNNNNNNNNNNNNNNNNNNNNNNNNNNNNNNNNNNNNNNNNNNNNNNNNNNNNNNNNNNNNNNNNNNNNNNNNNNNNNNNNNNNNNNNNNNNNNNNNNNNNNNNNNNNNNNNNNNNNNNNNNNNNNNNNNNNNNNNNNNNNNNNNNNNNNNNNNNNNNNNNNNNNNNNNNNNNNNNNNNNNNNNNNNNNNNNNNNNNNNNNNNNNNNNNNNNNNNNNNNNNNNNNNNNNNNNNNNNNNNNNNNNNNNNNNNNNNNNNNNNNNNNNNNNNNNNNNNNNNNNNNNNNNNNNNNNNNNNNNNNNNNNNNNNNNNNNNNNNNNNNNNNNNNNNNNNNNNNNNNNNNNNNNNNNNNNNNNNNNNNNNNNNNNNNNNNNNNNNNNNNNNNNNNNNNNNNNNNNNNNNNNNNNNNNNNNNNNNNNNNNNNNNNNNNNNNNNNNNNNNNNNNNNNNNNNNNNNNNNNNNNNNNNNNNNNNNNNNNNNNNNNNNNNNNNNNNNNNNNNNNNNNNNNNNNNNNNNNNNNNNNNNNNNNNNNNNNNNNNNNNNNNNNNNNNNNNNNNNNNNNNNNNNNNNNNNNNNNNNNNNNNNNNNNNNNNNNNNNNNNNNNNNNNNNNNNNNNNNNNNNNNNNNNNNNNNNNNNNNNNNNNNNNNNNNNNNNNNNNNNNNNNNNNNNNNNNNNNNNNNNNNNNNNNNNNNNNNNNNNNNNNNNNNNNNNNNNNNNNNNNNNNNNNNNNNNNNNNNNNNNNNNNNNNNNNNNNNNNNNNNNNNNNNNNNNNNNNNNNNNNNNNNNNNNNNNNNNNNNNNNNNNNNNNNNNNNNNNNNNNNNNNNNNNNNNNNNNNNNNNNNNNNNNNNNNNNNNNNNNNNNNNNNNNNNNNNNNNNNNNNNNNNNNNNNNNNNNNNNNNNNNNNNNNNNNNNNNNNNNNNNNNNNNNNNNNNNNNNNNNNNNNNNNNNNNNNNNNNNNNNNNNNNNNNNNNNNNNNNNNNNNNNNNNNNNNNNNNAAAAGCCCCAAUUUGGGUGCCCUAGCUCCAUUGCAUGUGUAAACCUAGGGUUCGAUCUCAUUGGGAAGCAAAAGUAGCUUCAUUAUACUCUAAAUAGUCCAUUAGAACCAUCCCUAUCUCACUCCAAACCCUAGUUUGGAUUUCACCAUGAGAGGUGAUGAAGCUCACCUCAAGCUUCACCAUUUUCAUGGUCUUGAUCUCAAAAGAAGCAAAAAGAAAGCUUCAAAUACUCCAAAGGUUCCAUAAAAACCGUCUUCAUUCUAAUCCAAACCCUAGUUUGGAAUUAAACAUGAGAAGGGGCAAAGCUUACCUCUAAGCUUGCUCCUUUCUUGCUCUAGAGAGGAAGAAGAUGAAGCCUCUUUGCUCCUUGACCUCCUUUUUCACUUUCUUCUCCUUCUUCUCCUUCUUUUCUUCCUUUCUUCUUCUUCUCCUUUGUCUUCUAGAGAGAGAGAGGGAGAGAAGAGAGUGUGAGAGGUGAGGAAAUGAGAGAAAUAUCUCAUUUGCCCUCAUACAUAGCUAUUGGGUUGCAAAAUUGCAGCUAAACUCCUCAGCUUUUAUCUCUGUGCACUGCCUGGACUGGGCAGUUUUCGCAGGCAGAGACCGGUCUCCCCGAGCAGGGACCGGUUCCCGAAGGUCCACCCUGCGCAGCCAGAGCUGCUGCGCGCAAUGCGACUGGUCUCCCUCUGGUGGGACCGGUCUCUCGGGGACCGGUCUCUCAAGCAGAGACCGGUUCCCGAGAGCUGAUUUUCCAAGACUUAGCUGAUUUUUCGGCUGUCUUAUUCUGCACGCGUUCGGGGACCGGUCUCUCCCACCAGGGACCGGUCCCCGAGAGCUCAAAACUGCAGAAUGCAGAUUUUGAUUCUAUAGCUCUCGAAAACCUCCCGUAACUCACUUUUAAUCAUUUUAACACCUUCGGAUUUUCCGAAGUGUACCGUUCUCGCACUUAGGUCAAUUUGACUAAAGUUCGACAUUUAUUUUCCAAAUUUUCGGUAUAUUACACUAGUGCGCCUUUAUGACACUUAGACAUUUAAUGUUUAAGCAUGUUCCACAUUCCUCAAUGGCCCUAUCCACUAAGUUCACACAUGUCCCGAGCUCAAUGUCGCUUGAUGACAUUAGCUCUCUAGUUCACAUACCUUCUAGUUCAACACCUCUAAAUGGCAAUUUUGUCAUCUUUCAUGUCUCAAAUAUACUUAAGUUUUAAUGCAUGAAUCAAAGCUCAUUUACACUAUAGAAGUAUGAAGCCAAGUCUCAUAUAGAAUGCUAGAUGUAAUCAUAGAUCUCUCAAGCAACUCUCUACUAUAUAGGAGUCCAAAAUUGCACUAUAAGUAACAUAGGAAUUUUAAGCAUUCUAAAAUUCACAAUAAAUACAUAUAACAAGAAUAUGCAUGCUUUUUCAAUUAAUGAUACUUAAUUCAUCACAAAUAAGAAUUUCUCAUUGUGUGGCUAGGUCAAACCCACCGAACCGUCCACGAGUCUCAAAAUACCCUAAAAGUAUUGAGCGAAGAGAUACACGGGCAUUACGAUCAACUAUAAGAUCAAAAAUUAACCAGCAAGACAAAAAGGGCUAAAAUUCACCUAAUGUGUAGGAAAACUCUCUCAAGCUCCAAAAGAGAGCUAAAUCCCUUCCAAUCCAAGCCCAAGAAAGGUUCUAAUCCAAACAAUCUAGCCUCGAAAGCCAUAAAUCAAAAAGCCCCAAAAAUCAACCCUAAUAUCCAUUCUAGGGUUCCAUAUGGUAAAACCUACCAAAUCAAGAAUCAAAAGGUAGAAUCCAAGUACUAACCUCCCAAGAUGCCCCCAAACAAGCUCCAAAUCUUCUAGGGUUGAAGAUUGGUCCACCACCAAGCUCUACAAGCAAGCUCUAAGCCUUGCAUGGGUGGAAAGGAGAGAAAGGGGUUGAGCUCCAAGCUCCCUCAAGCAAGCUCCUCUUCUUCUUCUCCUCCUUCUUCUUCUUCUCUCUCAAGAAGGUGUAGGGUGAGGGUGAGAAAUGAGGAGGGAAGAGAGGGAAAUGGCUAAUAAGCACAUCUAGUGUAACAAAAUCCGGAGAGGCCCCUCAAAAACUCAAAAUUGCAAUAGCCCGGUCUGGGCAGUUUUCGCCCAGAGGGACCGAUCUCUCCCCAGCAGGGACCGGUCUCUCGUUGCGAACCCGAAAAACCAACGUUCGGGAACCGGUCUCUCCCUGCGCGGGACCGGUCUCUCACUGUGAAGAUGAGCUCGGGGACCGGUCUCGCCUGCCAGGGACCGAUUGCCUCAGGCUGCCACAACACUGCUCACUAGGGGACCGGUCUCUCCUUCCAGGGACUGGUCCCCGAAAGUAAAAAUUCUCAGGACUUGUCUAGAAUUCCAGUUUUCGAACUUUUUAGGUCGAAAAGUAUUCGACGACCCUCCACCAAGUGUGGAAAAGCUCGAAAUACAUCCAAGCACUCGAACCUCGCAAUUGGCAGAGGUCCAGUGUGUUACAGGAAGGCUCUGAAAGAAAACAUAAAACAGGGGGCGUGAGAAUUAUAAUUUAUAGUUCCCAGUGGGCACUUACCUUAGCCAAAUGCACCACUAGACCCAAAUCAUGAGCAGAUAUAGAUAACGAAAU